UUUAUUGCUCUAGUAGUGGCUGGGCUAGUUGAAUACCUAGUAGCAAUGGGGUAUACGCGGGAAGGAAUGUAUAAAUGCUUGUGCCUGAGCCAAAGAAGGAAUCAUAGUGGAUUGAGGUCUACCGGCGUCAGUAGUUGAUUUACGAACUUCCAUAUACGAGGAGGAAACAAGCAUCAUUAUUGAUGAUGAAGCAAACAAGUAAACAAGCAACAGCAACUAAGUGCAUCAGCGAGUCUUAUAUCUGAUCUUGUUUCCAGGUUGAAUAUAAGUAAGUGCAAGCAUAGAAGCCCUAUAACUUAUAAUGGGCCGCUCAUUCUUCUAAUAGUAUGAGAAGGAUCAGAUGUUGUUCGAGUUAAGUAUCUUGGUGUUGCUCUAAACCCACCUUUUAUUCCACUUGUGCUUGGUGUUGCUCUAAACCCAACAAAAGUCACUACGCAUAGGAAAAAAUGCAUUCGUUGUCAAGUUUAUUAGAAGAAAUUAGGGAAACGCUAGUAAUUCGCUUUAAAUGGCAUUUACCUUAAUCAUUAUCCUUUACCUUAAUUCAGACUUGGCAUCAAAGUAAAGUGAAAGUGAGCUGCCUUGCACUAACAGAGUUCUUAAGGUAACCGAAAUCUUAUGGAUAUUUAUAGUUGGUAAUCACAGAGUGGUAGGUUGUGCUAAGAGUUAUAGCUUUAAAUACCUUAAUAUUAGGGUGCGAGUGUUUCGGUUAAGUCUGAGUACAAGUCUCUUUAAGCAAGGGAACCCUCAAUGGAAGCAGCCCUUAAGUGAAAUGCAGAAGUAGAGUCCAGGCAAUUCAAUCAGUGUCAUCCCCUCUCUUACCCACUUCCUAUUGUCUAGGGCAAAGAAAGCAGAUAGGGAUUUGGUUACUUUACUUAUAUCUUAUAAUACAUAGCUCAUGAUUCUUUUCUGUUUCCGGACAUCUCGCUUCAAAGGCAUUCUAUCUAAACUAGCAUUGCUUAACAUAAGCCUUACUUAUAUUGGAGUAUCAAACCUAGUAGCUGCUUGGCCCCCCUUCUUAAAGGAAGUAACACGUACUGCCUCGAACAACAUCUUUUCUCUUUACCACCCAACGCCUUCCUAUGAUGAAAUAAUUACUAGAUCUAUACAAGACCCCUUAAGGAGGUUCAAUUCUGUUCACUUCCACUUUGCGCCUUAUCAACCUCAACCUGUAUUAGAUUUGAGUGCCGAAGAUCAGAUAACUCUCUAACACGCAUCCUGAACUAAAGUGAAGUCUAUUAUAUAAGUGAUUCAACUCCGUAUUCACUAACUAGUUAACUUCUCCCUUGCCCAACCCCAGUACGAUAAGUCAAAGAACAGGAACAGGACUACUACUUGUAAACUUCAGAGAAGACUAAACUAGGGAUUCCGGAUACUCUACUAAAUAAUUAGCUGUGCGAGGAAAGUCAACUAUAGAACACACCACUCGGUAAUAACCUUAGGACUCGGAAGCCCAUAAUCAGUAAAGCUUAUAGUGAAGGCUCUGCUCUACUGGGCGAGAUCAUCUAGACAACUUGGCCUAGCGCUGGCUCAUUGCUUUUUUAUACUAAUACUAAGCUUGCCUGUGAACUUAUCUUUAGCACUUACUUUGGCACAGCUUCUAAAUGGGAUGAAACUCACACAGGAGCAGUAACAGAAUGGAUUGAAUCUCUCUCCUCGCCUCGUGGGCAUGCUUGUAUAUGCUUGUCUCCUACUUACUGGUGGAAUUCUUGGAUUUCCUGGGUGCAUUCUUUCACUACUGAGUUGCCUUGGAGCGGCGGAGUCAAUGAAAGACUUUUACCGUAGCUUGGCCCGUUGCUUGGCCCCUUACCCGUGAAUGGAGUCCCAGACGCCAAGAAAGACCUCGGGAUUCUAAACACAAACUUUCUAUCUCCUCUCGCCAGAAGUCCAUAUCUAUAAGGUAUAUUAUAUCAGUUAGAAGGUUCAUUAUAUCCGUUAGAGUUUUGAAGCAAACUAAGAAAGACCCAUACAUUUCCUUUAGACAGCGUCACGACGCCAUACACUCUGUUAAUGAAAGAAAAGGCAUUCCACUUCGAAAAUAGAGAUCUCGCCCACCCAAUAGUGCCUUCACUAGAAUGGAAAGUGGUUUAGAGAGAAGUUGUUGUUGUUUAGAGGUGCCUUCACUAGAAUGAGUAGUAGUAUAAGUUUAGGCCUUCCAAAUGAGAUUAGGUUCGUGUUAUUACGACUGAUGAGCGAGUGAGUCUGACUUUAGUGUAUGUAGUGAAGAAAAAGGGUCGACUACGUUGAGUAUUCUCGACCACCAGGGGAAGUUCUAUUACUAGAAAGCAGUGGGGGGGAAAUUCCAACAUCAACUUGGUUAUUGGACUGGAAUCCCAUUAGGUUGGAAGUUGAGAAAGAUGAAAGGAACGAAAACCCUGCACAACGGCUGCGAAACUCAAAGAAGGAUCAAAAAAGCACUAAAAGAAGGAGAAAAGGGAAGAUUCUUGAUGAAGCAAAUAUCUCUGUGUAGAACAAUCUCAUAAAGAUGAAGCAAAUAUCUCCGUGUAGAACAAUCUCAUAAAGACAGACCAAGGCUCGAGAAAAGAAAUAGAACGAUUGAGUCAGAGCAGAGUUUAUGAGGGAAAGGAAAGGGGUAAAGAAAGGUCUAGGGAGCAGCUACACUAAGAAUGGGACUAAAUCUAAUGCGCUAUCUCGUACCGAUUCCUUCUUUUCAGUCCCAACUCAACUCUCUUGGACUUAUUGUAAUGGCGGUUAAUGCUUGUUCGGUUAAUGAAGUAGAAAGUCAACCACUAUUAUAGAAAUGAAAUAAACUCACCAUCCAUAAAUAGAUCAUUAUUAUAUAUAUCCUAUAAUAGAAUAGAGUAACUAAGCACCGAAACACUACUUACUAGCCCCCUAAACUAACUGGUGACUGCUUUCUGGUUACUUGCUUAGCUUUUGCUUUAUGACUUACGCCGUAGCUUUUUGACUUGUUGACUUUAGUUUGUUUGUUCCGUAGCUUUUUCUCUAUGUUUUGAUUCUUUCGUUCCCAAUCUCUUACUACCGAGCUUCACUACAGCAGAAAAGGAGCGCACUCAUAUUUCUCUGGUUUUAAUUAGUAGCAAGUUCUUCUAUACCUCUGGCUCAUCCACCUCAGGCAACAAAUGAUUGUACUGCUGACUCAUCUCUGCUAACUUCAUUCGGAUCCGAUACCUCUGUAAACAGCCAAGCUACUAGGCAAGUCCAGUUUACUAAGAGCAAGCCCUAACUCUCCACUUUCAGGUUCUUUCCUUACACUAGAAACUAACUUAUUGAAUGAAAUUGAAGAUUACCCGCUUCUACACUACAUGAUACCAGCAUGAAAUAAGUGUGUGGCGCACUUUAUACCCUACCGCUCCGUGGGCAGUCGAAAAGAGCUUAUCGAUUAGACUAAACUUCGAUUGAUGAACCAAAAUAGUAAGCUAAACUCUCUAAACUUGGGUAUAAGAACCUAUCUCACCGAACCUAUACUCGAACCCUAUCUCUACACUUGAGGAAUCGCACUCAACAAAGAAUUCCAUUUACCUUACCCCGAGUCGACUCCUUAGCGCCGAGUCAAACUGUCAUUCACUCUAUCGAGCGCAGAACUAAGAGCAUAUAAUUGAGCUCUGAACUUACCCUUGACCUCAGACAUGCGACUGGCAAUUCUACAGCUUCGGAUUCAUUCGUGGACUUAACUCGCACAGAAAGACACUCUGAAACACCACCGCUUUUAUCUAACUCACUUUCUCAGGAUUCUUCUCCAGCUUAUGUUUCAUCUACUGAUCUUUCCACUCACACUAUACUUUCUGGACGAAAACAAUACUUCACUGUCAAAAGAGGAGGAUACUCUACUUCCUCAUCUGCUCUAUCUUCGGCUUCAGAUCAAUAGGAAUCUGCUUACCCGACCCGAACUAACUAAAGAAUCCACCCCACUACUAGCAAGCCUACUACUAGCAACCCUGCUUCAAAGCCUUAGACUGAUGAGUGGAAUUCUUAUCUUAGUAUCGGUGGUACUGGUUUCAGUAUAUGCCUGUAGAUUUGCAUUCUUUACCUGUAGUUGAUAGUAGCUACCUCGACUCUGGACUAGCUUGCCCACCUCCGUGGAAACCUAUAUCCUAUAUAAUAACAGAUAGAAUGAAGUAGGGGGCCAAGGAACUACUAGACAAGAGCUAAGCAAGAAGGAGUGAAGGAAUGAAAUCAAGUGCCAAAUUACUAUAAGGGUCCAGUGAGAAAGUAAGGUUAUUACCCAUCUGCCGCAUCUAGUAGUAGUCCAAGUAGUAGUCCCAGUAGUAUAGUAGUAGAGAGGGGAGCAAGACCCUUCUAUUAAGUUUGGAGAGUAGCCAGCUGCAGGGCAUCACUAGUUCUAUUCUUUGACUCGGACCGGAUAGCCACCAAGCAACUACUAAUGACCAAGCCACGACUAAUGUGGCGACCAAGCAACGGCGCGCCAAGUAACUACUAAUGUUACGCGGCAGCAAAUGACAGUCAUAACGGCCAAGCAACGGCGCAAGACGUUGUACGGCAGGAGCUAUAGCUAAGUUCUGUCUUCGUAGAUGCUCUCGGCGGUAGCAACAGUAAUAGGCCAAGCAACUACUAACGUUGCGCGGCAGGGCCGCUCCACUCUUUUUAUUACAAUAGAUGUUUUCGGGAGUCUGAGCUAAACGGUAGCGAGUUAAGGACCGAUUAGCUCCAUUCUAUGACUCCCCUGUUUCGUUCUAGGACUCCCCGGUUUCGUUCUGUAUUUAGUAGCUCAGUAGCACUGGUUUAAGCCUUGGAUGCACUCGUUUCAGUCUGAAAGUAAGUGAUUUGAUUCUUGUUGCACGAGUAACAACAGAGCAUUGUUUCCUAACCGAAUCGAGUAACAACAGAGCUUCGAGACUCACGUAAGCACAAGGCCUUGAUCCAGGAGUUCAUUUCAAGGACAUACUUUCCUUUACAAACCGUUUUUCCAGAUUCGAGGUUGAAUUCCAAGCCAAACCUUCUGGUACGAGCGAGCUACUUACGCUUCAGCUGAACCCGGAGGCGGAUAUACUGAAUGGAAUCAAUCCCUUUGAUUAUUCAUCCUCGUUUUCCUGAGCAACUUGACCCCUACUCCUGGACGAUUCUUCAAUCUAUUCUCGAUGACCGACGUACCUCUAUUUGACUCUAUUUGAUCUCGAAUUCCUUCCUUGGUCAGAUCCCUUUCCUAUUGUCUUGGGUAUAAGUACUUAUUAAUAGAAAACAUAGUAGUAGUAGACUAGUUGAGUUAAUAUCCAAAGUCGUAGUAGGCUAGUUUAGGCGAGAAAAGCUUCCGCUGGGAGUUCUUUGAAAAGAAUGAAACUACACUAAUGUAUUUGAACGUAAACUCAUUCUAUUACUCCUGACUUUUGAACGUAAACUCAUUCUAUUACUCCUUACAGUUAUUACGGACUACUUACUCCAAUGAGUGUUAGCUAGCAAGGGAACAAGAAAAUGUUCUUUGAAGCUGUAGUUUGUUGGGCUCAGUAAGAAUGGAAUGGAAUGUUGUGCAAAAGAAAUAGAAGCAUAAGAGAGCGAAAGAACAAGAAGAACGAAUCCAGAGAGGCACCUUCUAUAAAAGAACUCCGGACGCCAAUUACUUAAGGGCACCGAAAUGAAGAACUUUACUUUGUUUGCCCAAGAGCACUAAGGGUUCGCAAAGACCCUGUCUCCAUACAUAGGUUCUAUAGUAGCCGCGUCGGGGAGAAGAGAAAGAAGGAUUCGAAAACGAAAUCUCCCUUGCUGCACCCUCUCUCUGCCUUUGUCCUUUAAUCAGGUGUACUGGGUUCCUAACUCCAUUCAACAAGUAUAACUCGCACCCGAACCCAUACCUUCCUCCCACUGCUAAUGCGCUCUAGAUCAUACCCUAGAAGUAUCAGCAAGUAUUCAUGUUCUGAAUUGAGAAUAUACCUCUUACCGAGCCCUGUAAAGAAUUAGGGAAAUACCCUGCUCCCGGUCCCAAUAGAGUAUAUGCACUCUCAAGAAGAAAUUCCACAAUUCAUUCUUUGUUGUGAGGGGCGCCAGUUUGCCCAUAGUCGGUAUUCUUAUAUCGAUAUUUGUAGUCAAAGUCUGAGAAGCCCUUGCUCCAUGUACUGUUUAUUUCAUUCUUGGCAGGUAGGAGUCGUUUCUAAGGGUAUCUAUUCUCUGAUGUCUAGUACUAAGAAUAAGAUCCUGUUUCAAAGGUAUUAACUCUAUGAUAUCAAGUACAUCAGGUAUUAAUUCUCUGCGCUUGUUUCAUUACUUGUUUACUGACUUUGUGGGGUGCCUCUAUCCAAUACUAUUUGUUGGGGCAUUUCUACUAGUUGGUGCUGGAAACCAUUCUUUGCGGAAGUAAGAUAAGGAUCCGAUCAAGGAUUAGAAUAAGUAGAAUAAGAAACUAUGAACGGGUAUUCAAGUGUAGAGUCAAGAUCAGGAUCAGUGUGUUUGUAGUUAAUUAUAUGACUUAGUUGCUUCAUUCUGUAUUUCGAGAAAGGAUCACUAGCAUUAGGGUAGCUCGAGCAGAAGAACCUAUAUCUCAACCACUAAUGAAAGGGAUUCUAGCCGGUAAGUCGCUUGCCCUGUUCGCAAACUCUAUUCUUAAGAAAUCAACUACUAGACAAUAGCGAGCUACAGGGUUGGCUAAGAGCAAAUAGCUAAUCUCUUCUCUUCUGGCCAGUCAGUCAAUACUAACCUAACUCGGCAAACACAUAGCAAGUAAUAAAGAAAUUCUAACUUGGUAUUCUAUCUUAUACUAUUUCUUUGAAGUCGAGUGCGGGUCGGAUGCUACCAGCGGCAUCCCUUGUUUCAUCUUAUUUAUAUAUAAAAGACAGAAUCCAUUAUACAAUACCGGAGUAGCUGCAAAGAGUUUCUAGUGGAAUGAUUUGCAGAUAGGGAGCAGAGAGGAGCCUAAUUCUGAUAUAAAAGAAAGUAGAGGCGUAACCCCGAAACAGUCCCUGGGUGUCAAAUGAACUCGUUUUAGCUCCCUACCGCGCCACUAGUGAACNNNNNNNNNNNNNNNNNNNNNNNNNNNNNNNNNNNNNNNNNNNNNNNNNNNNNNNNNNNNNNNNNNNNNNNNNNNNNNNNNNNNNNNNNNNNNNNNNNNNNNNNNNNNNNNNNNNNNNNNNNNNNNNNNNNNNNNNNNNNNNNNNNNNNNNNNNNNNNNNNNNNNNNNNNNNNNNNNNNNNNNNNNNNNNNNNNNNNNNNNNNNNNNNNNNNNNNNNNNNNNNNNNNNNNNNNNNNNNNNNNNNNNNNNNNNNNNNNNNNNNNNNNNNNNNNNNNNNNNNNNNNNNNNNNNNNNNNNNNNNNNNNNNNNNNNNNNNNNNNNNNNNNNNNNNNNNNNNNNNNNNNNNNNNNNNNNNNNNNNNNNNNNNNNNNNNNNNNNNNNNNNNNNNNNNNNNNNNNNNNNNNNNNNNNNNNNNNNNNNNNNNNNNNNNNNNNNNNNNNNNNNNNNNNNNNNNNNNNNNNNNNNNNNNNNNCGAACACAGGACUUGGUCAUAAAGGAGACAAGCCUCCAACUAAGCACUAAGUAGUAGCUUGGCAGUUUCAAGAGGAGAGGUUUAGUGGAAAGUCAGAAUGAACCUAAGAAGUAGGCAAGUAGGAAAGUAGGAAUCAAAGGGCAAUCGGUGGGCUUUAGCCUAGGGCAACUCUGUAGUUAAUGUCAGAAUUGCACUAAUUAGACCGGAUCUUUCCUCUGAUGCUGAACAAGUUUCUGCUGCUUCAAAGCCUUGACUUUAUUCUUCCUCGGUUUGGGCAUGUUCUCUAUUUACUACCUAGGGCAGGACUACUACUACUGGGCUGCUACUACUUGGACUACGACUUGUUAUGAGUGGCUUCAUUCCUAGAGUGACUAGUGGAAAGGUGCAGUUGGGACUGGCUUCAUUCUAAGAUUGACUAGUGCAAUUCCUUUUAAGUAAGGUGAAGGCCCCUAUAGUAAAGGCUAUAGUUUCAUUCUGUAAUUACUAUUCCGACUUCUGAGGUUGUCUCUGACUUUCAACAAGCACUCCUGGCUUCUAUCUCAAUACCCGGCUAAGCAUGCCUGUAAGGAGAAGAGCAAGAGCCAGAGUUAGGUUUUAGGGUCAAGAGGCCCUUAUAUUAAGUCGCCAUAGUUUAGGUCGGGUUGGUUACUUAUGAAAGGAGUGGGCUGGUAGUAGUUGUUAUAUGACCCGGGGCUCCUGUUGCUAGAGAUUAGGACUCAGGGCCAAGCAACAGUACUAGACUGAGGGGAAUCGGUGGGCUGGUGGAAUUCUGCCUUUCCUAACUUUCUCACUGGAAUUCUGCCUUUCCUAACUUUCUCACUGGAAUGGAACUUCACUCUAAUCUACCAACUUACUAUAAGGCAACUGCUAAGCGUAUACUUUAGAGUUUCAUGAAGACCUUUCCUACCACUGAGUAGAAUUAAGAGUUUCAUCUUGUUUCCUAUAAUAAUCUAAUCUAUCAUUUAGUAGGGGACAAGCCUACAAAGGUGAUCGAUUGACUACUUGCUUAACACAAGCACUGAAGCCUACCCGCCAAGACACUCACUGCUUUCCAUUCCCAUUCCUUUCCUUGCUUGUUCUCUCAUUCUCAUUGCUCAAAAACAAACAUUAGCUAUAGGGCGAAGAGCUCACCCGAUGAAGUCACUCGCGUUGUGAUCAAAGAAUCUAUCUUCUCGCAUUGUGAUCAAAGAAUCCAACUCGUCUAAUAUAGAAAGAAGUCACCUCACUACCUAUUACUUAGAAAGAAGUCACCUCACCACCUAUUACUUAGAAAGAAGUCACCUCACUACCUAUUACUUGUUUUUUCGCGCCCUGAGACUAAAGUAAGGGCAUAAACCUAUAGCUAACAUACUUACUUGUUCUUAUGCCGUUGUUUGUUCCAUUACUUGUUCGAUAAAAUGAUGUUUCUUCCGUUGCGAGCCUAUGGAUCUGCCUUGCUUUGGCCUUCUAUCCCAUCGUCUGGAACUCAAUCCAAAAGAAGCCUGUCCGAGAACAGAUGAAUGCUACUGACUUUGGUUCUUUCACCGCCUUCGACUAGCCCUUAAAUCAAUCGCCAUUCUAGCCCAAGUUUGGAUGGAUUCCUCCAACAAUCAAUGGAUUCUUCUGGCUUGCUUUUGGCUGAUCACAGAAGCAAAAAAGGCUCUUCCUGAUGUGAGAUUUACGAGUCGCUAGAGAGGAGAGGGAAAACUUCUUCUUUCAAAGAUAAUACCAGCCCUUUCUCUCCAUCUAAGAAUCCCUUGGCUACGAAAGAAGGCUAGGCUCCGAUCAAUCCUCUUCCAUAGAUAGUUACCGAUUGCAUCAACCCUUGAAUGAAAUUGUCUAGGUUCGUUGCGAGGGUUGUCAGUUGGGAAUCAAUCUAGGAAUUCAAUAAGUGGGCGAGUGCUAUGCAUAAGAGAAUGCCAGAUAGCCAUCAGCAACAGUAACAACCAACAGGGGGGCAAGCUAACCUUUCUGUCCUUCCCGCCCCGCUUCUAAGCCAACAAAUACAGAUGAAACAAACUCAACUAACGCUGGCCCAACUCGCUAGUAGUAGGCUAAAAGUAACCUAUAUUCAAUGGUUGCGGGACGUGAUAGAGUUUAUUCUGUUUCGCAGUUCUAUUAGCUUUGUCAGUUGUGCACUAUAUUAUCUUUCUAUUCUUGCACCAUUUUAUAGCUCUCAUACAUACCAGCCUCAAUGCCUUGUGCUAACGUAUUGCACCAUUUUAUAGCUCUCAUACAUACAUACCUAUACCAGCCUCAAUGCCUUGUGCUACCGUGAGUUUUCAGUCUGCAGGGUUUUUACUCAAUUCUCGUCUGUAUCAGCAACAUCAGCAGUAAUAGGUAUAUGAGCUCAGUUAGCAAGUUCUAAAGUCAAGGUUCGGGUCAAGAAAGGAGUGAAAGUCUUGUAUAGAACAAUAUUGGUAAUCAGAGUCAGAGAUAUGAAAUUAUUCAGCUUACCCGGACUGCCGGCAUUAGGCACAGGACUGGGGGAAGAAACAGGUCCGAACUACUAGGUAAGAGAAUUGCUAGGUAAAGUUACAGGAAGCGCCUUAACCUGGCUCGAACUGGGCAUUCUAUGACUUCAGAUCUUUAAACAGCUUCAAUUCAGUACUAUUGGUGGGCAAGGGAGCUAUUAAAUACUUCCAAACACCGAUAUCUAAGGAAUUACAGAAUUCCACUCACAAGUGGGAAAGUCAGAUCUUUAUUUGUAGCCAGAGGAGGGGCCUCAUAGAAGAUGUCACACUUCAUGCUCUUAUUGCUGGUAUAAAGGGGUCAGAUGAUUGAUUAGAAGCCGGGGCAGGAUCAGUGUCCGGAUCAAUAGAAUGGCUAGUUCCAGUUCUUUACCGCUACGUGAGCUUAGUUAGUAUAGGUGACUCUCAAUCCGGUGUUCAAAACCAUCAAUCAGGGUCAAUCAAGCGGGUCAAUCGGCGAGUCUUAAACUGUCAAUCAGGUAUUGCAAUAAGUUCAUCUGGUGCUCAAGCCAACAACUUCAAAGGGGAGAAGUUCUCUAACGCUUGACGAAGCAGUAAUUAAGGGCACAGGACGAAGAACACAGCACUUAUUCAUAACCGCCGGACAUGGAACUUGUGCCUUAACCCCUACGUUUAUAGAUUGAUUCGGACAGUUUCGAAUUGACUACUUUAGCCAUGAAGACAGCACUCGUGCAUAGCAACCAAUUAAUACAUUAUGUUUGUUUCUUUAUGCCUUAUGCCUCUAAUCUUUAGAAAAGAAGUGAUGGUACCAACCAGAGCAAGAGGUUUUAUCGACCCCCAAAAACGAUCCUUUUAGAACCGCGCUCGUUGCUUAGUUUGAAACUGCUUUAGCUUCAGAUCGGAUUGCUGGAAUUGAAGAUAGUGCUCUGUUAUUGAAGAAUGGAAUUGUUGAGCACAUGGUCCCGGGAUAGAUGCUUGUAAAGACACAGCUUACCUAUCUUUUGAAUCUUAUUAGGUGUUGUCUUCUAUUUGACCUGAUCCUGAUCAAUAGGGAUCUGCUUCCACAGCUUCUUAUCCCCUUAUGAUGCUUACUUACCUGAUCCUACAUCUGCUGCUUCCUUUCGCACUGAAGCAAGUCCUGUGUUUUGCUAUCCAAUUUCUCAUCUAUCGUGGUCAGGUCAACUAUCAACUCCGGACAAGCUAAUACUAAUAAGGAAAGUAAUAACUAAACAGUCGUUGCGCGGCAGGAGCGGUUCAAAGUAUUAGAGUAGUCCUGUUUCAUCUGUUAGCUCUGGGUCGGUAAAGUAUCAAGAGUCAGGGUUCAUAAAAGAAUCAAGAUCUGUUUCAGGUCGGGUUGACAGCUUCCUUGUAGUUAAGGGUAGAUAAGAUAGGUUUAUAGCUACGUUAAGGGUAGAAAAGAUAGGUUUAUAGCUUAACCGACUGUAUCUGUUCGAAAGUCAAGUUCGGGGGCCAAAGAGAAAUAUAGUACUUACUGGCGCAACGUUGAGAGUACCAGAAACCUAAUCCCCUCUCUUUUCUCCUGCUAGAGUAUAUUAUCCUGUGUAAGUGGAUUCUCCUGCAUAAAUAGAAAGUAAGGAAAGGGAGUUAAAAGAGCAUAAGGAUCCUGACUUUAUGGCACAGCGGAUUCUCUCCUACUUCUGUAUUCAUUUACUGAUCUCGUCUACUCUCUUGCAUCACAACUGCAACAUUCCAUUUCUCUAUGAGACUUAUGCGCAUGUAUAUUCAUUUAAGAGCACGCGGCCCGGCUUGCAAUACGGAAUAAUAUACUGCUCUUUCGAGCGUAGAUGUUAGUCAUUAAGAUUGGAUUGCCGGAAUUGAAUCCAUCGAUCGUUCUCAACAAAGAAUUAUGACACUUUUCCUGAUGCUAAACGUCUUGCCCGAACUCCACUUGUUGAUUACCCGCUUGCUGUUGACCUGGACUUGAAACCUUACAGCUUAGCUGACUCCUUACUCCUCACUUGAAUCUGACCCGCUUGCUUGAGACCCAGUUUCGCCUUAACCUUUAUACUUGACUCGCCUUAGACACAAGCACUGGAACCUCCUUAUACUUCUCGACCGCCGUUGCUUGGUCAUUAGUUGGAGUUUGUCCGUUGCCUGGCGAUUGAAGGAAUGAAUAAAGGCUUUAGACUGCUUUCGAACAAGAAGCAACAGCGAAGAAAGCAAUAAGAGAGUCAAAGGCAAGCUUAGGCGAAAGAAGGCAAUAAGAGAAGAGAGUACAAGCAAGCUUAGGCGAAAGAAGGCAAUAAGAGAGGAGAGUACAAGCAAGCUUAGGCGAAGCUAUAGGGGAGAACUCCGUUUCAAUUCCAUAUAUGCGCAUUAGUUCCGUUCAAUUUCCAUUCAUGUUAGCUAUGCUCUGUUAGGUUCAUCUCUUAUAGAAUGCGCAGAUCAUGUUCUUAAAGCACUUUGACUAUAGUCUCGUAUAGGGGAAGGGUGUUUAGCUGAGUUUUCUUAAAGUAAGGAGUGUUGCUAUCCUAUUUCUAUAUGUAGAUAGAGUGUUGUUACCCUAUUUCUAUAUGUGGAUAGCUAGAAGAAAUGAUUGAACAAGUAAGCAAGCAAGGGAACAAACAAGCUUAGGCGAAAGAACUAGUAGUGGUUCUUUACUAAUUCCGUUAGAUUCAAUCCUUAAAGCUACUCUCGGGGUGCCGACAUUCUCUAUGUUAUUAGGGACCAGUCAAGUUCUAUGUCUCUGAUAUUCCAUGUACAAAAUGUUCUUUAGAGUUAGUAGUUAGGUUACAACUAUGUUAUUCUAGAAUAUGUCUCUGAUAUUCAAUGCACUAACUAUGAGAAUCUAGACAGUAUACGUCAAUAAUCAUUUCUCUAUAACAGUGCCCCGAUAUGCUCAUUUAGUGUUUCGUUCGGUGCUAGCUUGAAGGCAGGCUUUGCGUUCCGUUCUUGCUAGCUUUAAGGUGGGCUUUGCUUUCGUUCAGUACCAAUGGAAGGAGAGGAAUUAGUCAGUUCCACUACCUGCGGGACAAUCUGUUUACGACUUUGGACCACAACAAGGUUAUGAGGCCCAUAAUAAGAAAAAGGCUAGAAGUGUAGCCAAGCGUAUACUACAAAGGCAGAAAAGCAGACAGGAAGAAUGCACUACAGAGAAGAAUUAGCCAUAGGUAGAUGAGCAAGAGGCGAAAUGCAGAAGCAAGGGAAGAAGCUUGUAAAGAAGCAAGUGAACAUGCAACGACAGAAGAACAACCAGCCGAUCUUGCAAGGGUAUCAAUCAAGUCUCAGGUAUCUUAAAGGGAACAAACAACUAGUGAAACCAAAAAGCCAAGCUCUGUAUGUAUGUAUGUAUUUACAAAGUGUUUUACAACCAUGUGCUCGAACUCUGAACUAGCGUUAGGGAAGCUCGAAAGAUGAAAGAAAGAAAUGUUUUACUGAAGACAGCGUUGUUUAUGCUUGACGAACUGUUCCAAUUUCAAUGAUUUUAUGCGAUGCAAUAGAUUCAUAAGAGUAGCAAGCCGGUUCUAAGUGCUUUUUCUCAUUCCUCAGUUGUAUGCACAUCCGCUCAAUUCAUCUUUUCGUUUUCCCGAAGACUCAACUGUAACUGUCUUGACAGCGCUAAUAGUAGUUUCCAGAUAAAAAGCUGUGGGCCAAGCAACUCUCAAUAUGGUCUGAAACUAAUAAGAAUAAUGGAUACUAAAGAGAAGAGCCUGACGAAAUUAGGAACUUACAGAACUUAUCUUAUUAUAGGAUUACACUCGAACUUCACAAGCUCCAUUCUCACUUUAUGGGGAAUAUAUCUCUUCUGACCCUUCUAUUCUAGACAAUGUGCUCGAAAGAGAGUCGUAUGAUUGACACCUCGCAACAAAGCCGACCCAAACUAGAAGUGCAGAACCGUCUGCUGCUUUGCUUCCUUACGAACUGCCUCUCAUCCUCUUAAAACAGCGGAUUCUUUAACUUAACUGUCAACAAUCCCUUCCCUAUGCGUAGCACAACUCAUCCAUUUCAUAUCUACCUUCUCUCGCACCGUAUCUAAGAUUGGAUCCCGAAACAAUACUUUCAAACUCCACUGGACUAGACCCAACAUUAGCUUAAUCUUUCGAUAGCCUUGUUGAAGUUAAUACUGUCAUUUAUGAUUCAACGCUUGCAACCGAACCCCCAUCUUGAUCUUUCUUUCCCGCUUCGUCACCAACUAAUACUGAUGAAACUGGGAUGCAACUAUACCGGCUUGGCACAGCUUCCUAGCUCGCCUGUCGAACAUCUGCUUGGCCCCUUACUAGCUCCACUCACUAAUACAUAGCUCCAUUGCCAUGCUGCUACUUACUCGUUUCAUUCUUGCCCUUACUAGUUCUAUUCUAUCCCUCGCUAGCUGCGACUACUGAGGUGCAUUCUUAGCCCUAGCUAGCUCACCUCUGAGUUCAAUUAUUAGUCAUAUGAGUGCCCGAACACAGGACUUGUUUCUAACUUCCUAUAACACUUGAAAUGGUCACUUAGCCCUUCUCCCCUAUCUAAGAGCCUGUCACUAAUGCUUUUAAGCCUGUGCUUUAUUUCUUUCGUUCUAACUAUACUUACCUCAAGUCUUACUCUAUUCUCUGACUUAUGAGCCUACCAUUCCCAUGUGCAAGUGUGAGUCUCCCUUUAUCGACUAUCAAAUACUACCAUUGGAAUUCCACUACUAACACAAACUUCCACUACUAACUAUAGAGCGGAAACCCGCACACACAUCAACAAGGCUUUCACUUGAAGCUAAGGCUUUCCGGAUUGGCACUGCUGGAAACAAGGUUAUCACUGCAGCGUCUCACUCUUUAGCUCCACCAUGGAUCUUACUUCACUGACUAUUGAUCUAUCACUCUCCGAUUUCAUGCUUUUACUGCUGUUUUGGAUCCUGACUCAUGAGUUGAAGUCUCCUACUUGCUUAUUGCAUUCCUUACAGGCUACUCAACACUUUCUUUCUCUUGAUACAAGCAAUAUAUUAUGGGCAUUAAUGACUUCGAGCGCAUAAGAUCUGAUUGCCUCAACUCGACAUGAAGAACUCAAAUAAGAACCUAUUCCUUUAGAAUUACCAGGAAAAGAUUGAAGCGCAGAAGAGAAGAUUGCUUGUUCCGUUUGAAGCGCAGAAGAGAAGAUUGCUUGUUCCGUUUCGCUAACUUAUUAUUAUUAAGAGAUUAUUGAUGCUUUUGAUCUAUCAUCUAUCUCUUCUCUUGCUACCAAUGUUAGUGUAGGUGCGGAACCCAUCACUGCUUACUCUCCCUUCUACGACAACACAAGUAAAAGAAGGAGACUCCGGACAAUAUGGCAAUUCUCCACUCCCAGCAAGGUCUCGCUCUAAGACAAACAGAUGAAACAAAGGAUGAAACUAUAACUGCAGAAUAUCCCGAUCCAGAUCUUUUGGAUUACCCGCUUGAUGCUGACUUGAGAACAUAAACGACAAGCUACUACUUGCGCUAUGCGUUAUGAUCUGAUAGCCCCAAUAGAUGGUCUUUCAAGCUUGAGCCCGACUGCUUCAUUACUUACAUCGAUGGAUUUAACCCCUCGUGGAUCUAUUAGUAAAAGACAGUGUCUCACGCAGACAGUUUCCUUCAUAUUAGAUUGAGUUUACAAGUAGGAAGAAUCCUAUGAAAGAAGGGGUGUUUGAGUAUAUAUCACUUUUCUUUGAAUACGAGGAGUCACCCAAGUAAUGAUGGUGUAAUGGAUCUUAUCUUUCUAGCUUGGUGGGUUGGCUCUUUUCCUUGUUCAGAUACUUUCAAACUAACCUUACUUCGCGGGUGAAGGGCAGCCUUCUCGAUCUACAUUUCUAAUAGAAAGAAAGAAUCCAGAGAAUCCAUAUUGACCUACGGACAAGCAACCCAACAAGUCACUACUAAUAGGCAAGCUACUACCAAGUAAGAAAUACAGAAGUGAGCUACUGCCAAUAAGGAUGGAACUGGGAUGGAAGAAUAUAUGUUUGAAUCGAAACAAGUAAGUAAAAGAGGGAACUAGUGCCUAGCAAGCAAGUCAAAGAAGAAAACUCAGAAUUGCUAGCGGAUCAGGGGGUUAAGAAGUCAUCCCUAACAGCCGAAUCCAACUUGUAAGUGCUAUAAAAAGAACCGACCUCCAAAGUCAGAGUAAAGCGGUAGUGUCUAGAGUCAACAACUCGAAAUACAGAAUUGGACUCAAAACUAUAAGAUCGAGAAACUGGCUGGGACUGAAACCACCACUGGAAGGAAUUGCACUAGCCUCUCAGAGAGCCAACCUCGGUAUUAUUAGAAUAUAGGUACGCCGUAGCGCGUCCCCAGUCAGUCGAUCGAUAUAGGGUCAACAGUAAGAGACUUCCACUAACAAACACGGAACACAAAUAACAGAAUUAGAGAAAGGGGAUAAGUGCUUGGAAGCUAGUGAGUCAGGCCUGGACAUGUAUAGAUAUAGUAAGGCUUGGCUGGGGCCCCACUCCGCAAUUAUGAUUAGUUUUGAUUAGUAUUGACUUCAUUCUCAUGCUUACCACCAGAAGUCUUAUAGCGGACCUGGAUCAAACCCGAGAUUAGCACUAUUAUAUACUACCCACUUCAGUUGGAUUAUGACUUAAUAGUCCAAUUAUGCACCCGCGCCCACACAGAGAGAACUAGUCUUAUGGCUCGUUACGCUUUCUUUCAGCCGGCCGGUGUUCUAAAGUUCUAAUAGAAUCGAAUAGAAUGCCGGAGGAAGUGUGAAUGAAAAGGUUGCCAUCAUCCGACGGGGGAAGAAAGAAGCUAUUGUUUAAUACUCCAUAAGUUAUGUUAUAGAUAGAGAUAGAUUCCAUGUUGGACCAUGUUCUCUAUUGAUGAAGGAAGGCUUAGGGGCAAGAAAGAAAGGUGCUUCAAGCCUUGUUCAUUCACUGCAUUCACCUGCACCAGGGACAGAUACUUUCGCUUCCUGCUGUCGGAUCAAUGCCAUCCUAAUCUUUAUUUAGAGCAUUUCUUUCCCCGAUACCGAUAGUCAGAGUGAAGGUAAGGAAGUGAAGCCUACUGGAUCAGAUCCUACCUUCCCACUAAUCCAUAUUCUGUUAGCUAGGCACAGGCACACUACUAGCUCGCCUAUUCUUUCAAUAUCAGAGUCAGUGUCCCGCAAAGAGAUUGAAUAAAGAGGACCGUCCCGUUCAAGCUUUGAACCGAUGGAUCUACUUUCUGGAGUUAUAACAUUUGCAUUUCUCUGACAUUCCACGUUCCCGAAACGACUCUUAUUAGGACAGGGAAUUUUUGGCACCGUAGGCAUGACCAAUGGCACGCUGUGCGCCUAAGUGUCAAAAGACAGUGCAAGCCUUGUUCUUUAGAAACCUCAAUGUUCCGGCAGCAACACUUCCAAAUGCCACUUCUUCUCGUCUUCAGGACGAUCUAGUUACUGGUUGGAAUUUCUGGCUGUUGUCGACUCUGAACUGAGAACUCUGGUUGCGUUGCUUGUUGGCAGGAUUCCCGUUCGAGCAAGUGCAGGUCAUUGAGUGGCCUUAAUACUAAUACUUCGUCCCCCUGUCAAGGAAUAUUGACCCCUGACUUCUUUUAGUUACAAUGUCUUUGUAAAGUUCAAGUUCCGAGAAAUUCCUCCCCGGAUCAGGACUCGGCCGGCGUAACCAAGGAAUCGUGGAGCCAAUUCAUGUCCAGGCAAUUGAGCCGUUUGGAUAUAUACCUAAGUAAUAAUCUCUCAAUAAAUGGGAAGACAAAAAGAAUCAAAUCGAAUCGAAUAAUAAGAGGUUCGGGACGAAAGCAGUCAAAUAUCUUCUGACUCUGAGUGGAAACACAGAAGGAUAUCACUUUUCCCUUUAUGGUUUUACGGAGCCAUGGAUCCAUGCUAGCGGGAACUGCGUGCCGGGUUUUUCCAUAUUCUUUACUGAUAAAGUCACCUUGGAGCUUGAUUAGGGGCUAACUUUACAGAGUGCCGAGCAUUGUUCGUCGUGCUAGUUCCGAUACUCCAGUUCCAGUGGUAAACGAAACCUUCUCUCUCUUGCUUUCGGGCCUACGUCUCUCUUUCAAGGGUUCUACUUUCUUUGGUUGGUAGCUUUUGGCAAGGCAGUACUUUUACUCAGUGGAUCUUGCUCUAGCCGCUUUUUGCUUAAGGUGCUGAAAGCCUUUGACUUUCCGUGAAGUUUUUGUUCCAGGUAUACUUCUUAGUCAAUGGACUUCUAGUUUCAGUGAGGGGAUCCUUACUUUGACUUCUAGGUAAACCUAAGGAAAGAAGAGCUAUAAGUAAAGAUUGAAGUGGAGUUGCACCCAGAAGCAGAGAAGGAACCGAAUAAAUCCAGUGUAGUGGGGCUGGAGAUCUAGCAUUCGCAUAGACUUUUAGUGAUCAAAGAAAGUCAGUUCGUGGCGGUCCGGGGAAAGCGAAAACAAUGAAUAGAGACACAUACCAGCUUCCUUCCGAGAUGCAGACCAGCCCUUACUCUCUACUGAAGGGGCAAAUCCCAGGACGACAUCAAAAGAGCAGAGAAUGUCCCGGCAAAUACAAGCGUCUCAUAGUUCACAUUUGAUCGAUGAAAACCUGCUGCUUAAAGAGCUGCUUGCUACCCACUUUGUCAUUUGAUUAUAAGACAAUAGCCCAGCUGUGGCAUGCCCUGUUUAAAGCAGCUUAUCCUCUUCUGUCUUUCCGUCAUCUCAACCUCGCACCUAAGCAUCACGUUCCUAGGGACAGAGACAUCUGCGCUCUAAGGCUAUCAUAGUACUGCUGCCGGUUACAUCUAACUGCCUACUGGGCAAGCUAAAACAGCAAAGUAACCUGAUUUGGCACCAUCAAAAGGAAUAGGAGCAGCAGCUGGGGAACCACCAUAACCAUCCAUGAUAGUUAGAAUAGCAGCAGAAGUCUACGUAGGAGCAUGGACACUUGGAAAAGAUGAAAUCGAUCCUGCCUCUUGUAACAAAGAACUAGGCAAGCCGGGACCAUCCAUACCUCUAAGCCCGAGCCUGUGAACCAAGUCCCCGGAAAGCAAGGCAAGGAAGUGCUAGUACACAAGUACCCAGGAACUCUGGAAGCAAGAAAAGGAGGACUGCAUAGCCAGCUCAGUAAGAGCAGCCGGGUAAGUAAGAGCCUUUCGCCGGGUAAGUUUUCAAAAAGGUAUUUUGACAGGGGGAGUUGACUCAAAGGGAGUGUUCCCGCUACGAUAGACUAUGCUAACUCUGUAGAUGCAAACUCAGCGGACGAUACCCCCGAGCCCGGACUUCACCAGGGAAGGCUAAAGCUACAGUAAAUCAAUCCGCUGCCUUAGCAGACCCUGAUGACGAUCACUCUGAUGCUAAACCAGACAUUAGGCUAGAGUAGAAACAAACACUAACUUCUUCUUCUUUGUACGGAGUGAACACUACUAGACCCUUGGGGGAACUAACGUAGAAGCCGAGUCAAGUAAAGAAAACGAGUCCUAGGAAUGCCAGUGCCUGCAGAUCAACAUUACCAAUUGUUUGCUUCCUAAUGUGGAAAGCGCCUAACCCGCUUCAGCAGAGUUCAGUGAUCUCCGGGAGAGCGGAAUAGAUCCUAUGAGCUGUGAGUUACCUCGCUCGCCCAGGGGCACUUGUAGAAUAAAGAGAUAUCAACUCCACGAACAAAGUCAAAGCAGUGAAAGAUGAAGCUUCCAAAGCGUUUGAGAGAGGAUUCCAUUAAGGUAUCCAUAGUCGAUAGCCCUAGGCCGAGUUAUAAAGUAUUCCAGGAAGGGUAGUUAUACAGCUAAUACACCUAAUACUUACCUACUCACCCGAGGCUCUGCAAGACCAGCUCUUCCUUUCCUUUGAAAAGUACUUGCCUUAUUCGGAUGGCUCAGCGGGGCCCUAUCCUGGUCUGGUCCUCUUGUUCGCGAAGACCCUAACUCCAAACCUUAUGCUCUUCAAACAUAUCAUUCAUGACCUGCUCCUCAAGUAUAAAGUGAAGUCAGAGCGACUUUCUUAUCUUGGCUCUUCCUAUUGAACACUUUUCAGAAUACAAAGUUAAUCCCUUAUGCGAACACUCAGACUUUCUUGCUCAGCGGAAUCCAGUUCAAUCUACUCCUUUAGGCGGGAUAUCCACUAUUCCUGUUUUAGCCCCCGGAACUGCCUAUCAAGUUCCCUUCGCUGGUGUCGUAGCAAACCAUAUCCGUUGGAUGAUAGACCGGCUCCCUCGGUAAGCCUGCCAUAUGAUAGGAAAUUGUGCUCAUUCUUAUCCUCCGCAAAGAAAGAAAGAAGGGAUAGUAAGACUGUGAGUCAGCAGUGGGCUCUAGAAAGUAAUAAGUAAGAUUGGCUACCUGACGAGUAAGGCUCGGCUGCUUCCCAGUUAUUCUACAAUUGGUUUCUUAUCCCUUCCCCAUAUGUGUUAGAUCGUAAAGCCCGAGGUCUAUUCUUGAGGGUAGUUAUAUCAAUCCCCCAUCAGCUGUUAGAGAAAGAAAGUAAACAUCGACGAGAUCCAAAGCAAGGAUCAGGUCAGGUGAUUUGUUCCAGAUUCCAGUCUGGUUUCAGUUACAGCAGUGGAAUCACGACCAGAAAGGGUACGUUCGGAUGGAAUCUUAUAGAUCAGAGUUCUUGGCUAUAAGUCUGUAGAGACAGGUUAUUGUGUUGAAGCAAAAGAAAAAGAGUAAUGAACAGUUCCUGUUUCAUCGUUUUCAGAAUCAUAGGUUAAGCAGUGCCCAGAUGAAGCAUAAAGCGAACGAAGCGGUUCUUCAAGUCGAGGUCAAUCAGUAUACGGGUGCGGGUACCGAUAUAUUCAGUAGGAGUUCGGAGGGACUCUAUUAUAGAGAGAGCAGAAUGCAACUCAAUUCAUAAGACGAAUAAGGGUAGCUUCAAACUUGCCCCACUUUUGUAGUUAAUGCUAUAUGGGUUAUGUAAAAAGAAAGCAGUAAGUCUGGGUUUUGAACCCCUCAAAAAAGGACUUGCUUCCGAAGCGAGGUUAAGUAGAGAAAGUUUCGAUGCCACUUAAUCAUUUCGGUUCUGUUCUGCUAAGUUGAGUUCUUGUCGGGGAAUCCUGAAAGUACUCUGGUGUGCGAACAGGAGUUAUUUAAAUGAAAUAAGCUUGUGACAGUAGGAAGUAGGCUUGUUUACUAGAGAAUCUAUACUCGAGCAAUUCAAAGAGCUAACUACUAAAAUCAGGCUUGAACUACACUAGCUCGCUGACGCUACACUCUUGGGGGUAUGAUUCAUUCCACAGAGACGAAGUCUUUUCGAUAGUAGAUAAACUCUCUUAUUGGUGGAUUGGUUCAAUUAUUCCUAUCGGUCUUAAUGGUCUCGUAGCAUGGUCUUGUAUUGUAGACCAGUAUUCUGACUUGCAUUAUGCCUUCUUUGCUGUAGGCUUCUACUCCUUUGUCUUAGUCUGCCUUUCCCACCCAUUAUUACUAGACCUUUGAUUAUGAUUUGACUAUACCUUUGAUUCUUAUUUGUUAUAAUAAAAGCUGGAUCUUUCCUCUACAUUUCCUAUAGGCGUCACACAUAGGUUAUACUAUACCAUAAUGGAAUUCAGAUUUGUCAUAUAGAAACUAGAUCUUUCCGCCACGUAUACAUGCGUUAACACACAGGAUAUAUUACUCGAAUAGAAAGACAGACGAACAAAGGAAUUGUUCGUCCACCUGUUUUCGUUCCUUUCCCCUUAGCCACAGUAGAGCGGGGUUCCGAUUCCGUAGUUCAGAUCUGAUUGAUAUUAGUUCGAUCCUAUAAGUGCUAAUCCGUGUAAUGAGAUUUGGACCGCGCCCUCCACAACUUAAGUAUUACUGAAACAACAACUGUUUUCAGUCUUAUGCUCCGGUUUCUCAUUCCCCCUUUACUGCUUUCAAUUCUACCCUUUCAUCUGUCACUAUGCUUUCAACUGUAUCCGAUUUGGUCGACUUAGCGCUUGCUAUCAUGGGUUAGUGGGCUGUCAAACCCUUAUUUUGAAUAGUGUAACAUGAGGUCAACUCUUCUUAUCUUAUCCAAAUCUCCUCUCUUUUACCCCUUAAGGCUAUUGAAAUGCGUAUCUUAUUAGUAACAUGGACCUCCUAUUGCUUUAUAAUAGAGAUCAACGUUGUUUGCUUGCUUCAUAUUAAUACUAAACUCAGUAAGCUGAUGAACACAGGAAACUCCCAGGGCGCCAACAACGCAAGAACCGAAAACAACAAAUCAAGAUGAAAGUAGAAGUUUUCAAGUCUGUAAAGGAAUACUCAAACUAGAGCAUAGGUAUUGAUGGAACAAGUACAGGAAUGCCAGAGCAGUCAGCAAGAAAGCAAUACAUGUGUGAUCCUACUAUACUCAAACAGGAACAUAGCAUUUAAGGCAGUAGCAGUAGACUUCAAGCAAAGAGUUUCGGACUGUAAAGAAAGUAUUAUAAGGCUGUUUUUUAUGCCUGUUGUCUUCGGCUUAUUUAGUAGUACUUGUUGGUACCUGAAUGAUGGAUUUUGCCAUGAGCAACCUUGACCAUAGGUUAAAUGACGAUAAAGAGGCUAGGCUGUACACGAGACAAACACUCCUGCAUUGAAUACUUGAUGGAGCAGCUAAUUAUGAAUCAUAUAGAUUUUUGGAUUAGGGAGAGAGAAUUUCUUAGGGGAGCACGGGACACGAGAUUGGCCUGCGCACAAAUCAAUUUGGAUGCAUUAACUAGAGCGAAUAGAAUCUUGUAUUCAAACUGUUCAUUUAGCACUUUGAUCGCAGAGAGAUAACAACCAAACAAUCCACGUUGGUGAAAGCGAUGCGAUACGACUGAACUUUCCUUCUUUGGGGAAUGAGCUCUCACUGUCUCUUGAGAAAGGAUAAUGUUAACGUUUCAUUUGGCCUUUCAGAAAUGGUCUUACUGCUGCUAUUCAGAGAAUCGAGCUAUGAAGACCUUGAACCGAGCUUAGAAUGCACACUCGUAGCCUAUAAUUUACACUCACCUUAGACCUGUGAAACUCCAAUUUGUGAACUUUAGUGAUUUCUUAAGAGCAAUGAAAACUCACUCUUUGACUCUUUAUUACCUACUCAUGAAGAUACCUCCUUUCGAGCAUAGAUACCUUCUCUCGGACAAACUGAGGGUAAUGUAAAGCACUGGUGAGCGACAGGGCGAGCGAUGAGAAGCUGGUGAGUCAUUAGUUACUGCUUAGAAACUUCAGAUUCAGAUCUUCUGCCAUAGUAGCUUCAAGUGAUUGGGUAUAUACAUUUGAGUGAAGGUGCGAGUCAACUCAACCAGGAAAAGGAAAUACUUCUAAGUUGAAGAAUCAAGUGCUUUUGAAUAGGAAUAGGAAUAUAGCAAGUACGCAGCAAGCGGGGAAGAAAGGGAAUAGACAACACUAGCACCCUCAACUUAUUAUAGAGGCCUCUCCUUGAAGUUAAGCUGCCCUCUUCUCUGACUUUAGGAACCAACUUCACCCCUCUCUAUAUGAUGAAACAAGAGAAAACAGUAAACGCUGAAACAGGAAUCCUUCUUUCCAGAUGAUGUCAUAUAAUCAUAGAAUUGGGAAGAGCCCUUUUAGAUUAGAGCCGGCAGUCCACAAAUCAUUUAUGUCAUCAAGCAGCUCAUCUAGCAGAAGUUGACACUCCGUAAGCGCUUUAGUCACUCACUGAUCAUUGAUUAUAGUGCGCAGAUACGAAAAAAGGAAAAUAAGGACUUUCACUUGCAAGCGCAGAAGAUAAGAUUGCUUGUUAUGAUGCUGAUGCCUUAGAAGACCCUCCCGUUUGCUGCUUAAGUAAAGACUGAACCGCAACACUCGAAACUGCUUGCUACAGGUGCUAAGAGGUCUUACCAAUCAGAUCACUGCAAGGUACUUCAGAAGCAAGCUCAUAACAUAAUAAGUAAAUAAAGGCAAGAAGUGUUGUUACCAGCAACAGAAGGUAAAGGCGGAAGAAACCACCAAGCAACGACUCGUGGAAUUACUAUAAGAAAAUAGAAUACUUAAUAAAAGAAAGCAAGUAAACUGCAAGCGGUUUUGAACUUCCAGUUUCGUCUCUUGACUUUGGGUACGAAGUUUAGGUGUAGCCAGUUUUCAUCGUAGUAGAGAUCAGAGCUCUUUAACAAUGCCCAAGUAAUAGAGCGGUCUCUUAUGGUAGUAGUGAGUCGGCCUAUGAUUCUUGUUUUGUCUUGUCCUGCUGUAGCAAGUAGGAAUGGAAUUCAAUCCGUGUCGAGUGUCGGGGAAUCAUAUCUUACUGGCUUUAAUGCGAGGUGUGGUCCAACAGAAGAAUCCAUUUAUGUUUUCUCGUAUAAGGAAUGCUCAUCUGCUGCAGUGAGUGAGGGUUAUGCUCAGAACAUGCCCUUUCUCUUUAUGUCCACACAUAUUAUUACUAGUUGUGGGAUGUGCUCCUUCCAACCAACUCUGUACUCCCUCUCUUCAGCCUAGCACCCUUUCCAAUAGAUAAAGAGUAGAAGAGUAGACCAGAGAAUGGCCUGUUCCAAUUUCAUCCCAAGUUGCAGGAUAAGGUACUUGCUUUGAAGCGCUAAGUUCAGAAGUUGUAUCUGGGUCCGAUCCGAGGAAAGCCUACUUGGUUCCCUUUCUUUGUUUGUUCCUUUGCUUGUCGAGUGAGCUGGACUUUCCACUGUUACGCCUCUCUAGCAUCGUUUCUAAGCAAAGUUCUUUAUGUUCUUCCCUGAAUCCUGACUUUCGCCCUUCAACUUAUACGAAUAAACGAAUACUAGAUCCAGAGACCCUUGCCUUUACUUACGCCUAUCGCAAAAUCCUAUUAUUAUAUCCUAUUAUGAUUACCGAGAUGAGAUUGGACUCUGCUCUGGGUCUACUUUCCUAGCACAGCUUCCUCACUUUUGCCUGUUGCUAAUACGUCUUUCCCGCCUUACCUUCUUCAGCGCAUAUUCCUGAAGUGCAGAGUCAACUAAUACGUUUUUCAAGUCUUGUUCGGUGUGUUGAUCAGUGGAGUCUCUUUGGCUUGCACCUGUAGCUCGCAGGUUUGAGUGUGCCGCCCGCUAAGUACUUUAGUAUAGUUCAAGAGGAGAAAGAAGCCCUUUAGUUGAUAACGAGUAUUAAUAACUCAGAUAGGCAUAAUGGAAUUUAGUGCAAAAGAAGAAAAUGUCACACUUACAUAGAUUGACUUAUAACAUAGGAUAGGAGAAUACCAUGAAAUUAAUAUACUAAACGAAAACAAACGUUAGCGAGUUAUAUCAUUGGCUAUCCACAACCUAUGUAUUCUUCCGAAACACCAAUAAAGGUGCUCACGUGUGCUUGUUCCGUUACUUCUUGAUUUGAGUAUUUGUGUGCUUGUUCUCUGACUUCUUCUUUCGAUCUACUACUUGUGUGCGCAGUUCCCUUGCUUGUUGCAGUUGAGUUUCAUUGGAUUUUAUUGCUUGCUGCGUCUUGCGCCGCUCAACAGUAGGGCGAUACUGGCCUGUAAUCAAAGAAGAGAAUCUCACUGACACCUGACUCUAAGCGUAAACAACACUGUUGACUGCAGGCUCUAUUCUUUGCUCUGCUCCUGCUCCACCGAAGUCUUGGGAAUAAUCUGAUUAGUUAGCAUUCACUUAUAGAUAGAAAGAAUAAAGAAAGUCAACAACCAGCAAAACUCAUAUCAUAGGCGUACCCCGCAACGAUAAGCAUUAGCAUCCAAAAACUCAAAUAAGUGUUAACCCCACAACUAACUCUAAACUCACGCAACUCCUAACGCGGAAGAAGGAAUUGAGGCACGCACAGAACUCUCCAGAGCUUCCGGAAACAGGGCUUAAUCCAGAAUUCAUUGCAUAAUGUGCUUUGGCUGCUACUUACUAUUUCGAUUCAUAAAGUAGAGUUCGGGAUGCUACUAUUUAAGUAAGAGUAAGGUAAGCAGUGCCGAAGUCAGCAACCAGUGAGAAAGGUGACGUUCGGGAUGCGCUAACGAGAGUGCUCUAGCAAGCCAAGUGAAGAGCCGAGCUGCUAUCUUUCUAAGCGUCAAUGCGGACUUGUUGCGCCGAGGAAAAGAUUCAUUGAGGAGCGGACUUCUGCUAUAUAUCUUUGCAAUGCACCUACACCUAGAAACUAUCCUUCGAUUUCUUAUCAAGCUUAUAAUAAGGAUUUGGCUUCAGAUCCAGAUCUCUAAGAUGAAACUAGAACGUCACUUUCAACAGCUUAUGAUCUCAUCGACAAGGAGGCGAGGCGGGACAAUCAUACUAUUAACUUACCGACACAAGAACUAAACCAAUAACUCGCUAACAGAAGCUCACUCAAUUCUUUUCUUUCUGCCUUCCUAGGGUAGGGGUCACAUAUAUCGAGUCUAGUAUCAACAAUAAAGGGCUUGAGAACUUAUAGCACUUUGGCGCCAGUAUCCAGUAUAAUGCUACUAAGCGUUGCGUCGGACCUACUACUGCUCCCAUACCUACUAUAUUGAUUGCUCGUAUCAAGUCUUGUAUCUGGUUGUUCCACUCAACCCCGGGCAACUCACUAACGCCCAAACAACGGACUCCAUAAAGCCACCGGACUAACGCACCGAUGAACGAUGAACAUUUUGAGUAGUUGUGCUCUUUCUGGUAAUAACUCGUUAUAUAACUUAUGGAGAUCAGUAUCCGGGUUCGGGUCUCAAAGUGCCUUUGAGUCGAGGUCGGGGCAAAAGAGAUGCCAAGCCGGUAAGGUCAGAUUCAUAAGAAAGAUCUUCCAAUGAUGAACUUAUUGAAGACAACUAAAGGCUGUGAAAAAGCAUUGGAGCCAAUAAUGGGAUUUGUUCCCUAGUGCUAACGUGAGUUCAAAACUAGAGUUUUUACAUGAGUGAGUUCUUUGAUGAGUUACCGAAUAUCAUUAUUUAGGUGGAGGUACCCAUGGCUUAGCUUAAGAGUCAGCAUCAGCAGUAAAAGUAAUAGGUAGAGCAGAAAAAGGUCUUUCGAAAGCAAAGAAAAGGAAAGGAAAGGAUUGGAUUGGUGCCCUUAAUUAAUGCCGGCAGUAGCGAAAAAACACUUAGGGCAUCAAAACGAGUACUGGAUUAUCCCGCAUCUGGUGUCCAUCUGAUACUUAUGAUUCUCCCGCAGCAGAUCCCAAUCUUUCAACGGAUUCUUCUCCUUCUGGGCAUUCUCUUCUCUUGUUCCCGCUUCUGAUAUGGUUCCUACUCAUACUAUUUCUUUAACAUCUUCUCUUGGCGGUUCCGAGCUGAACUCAUUAGUUGUGUGUUCAAUUCUGACUUUCUCGUGAAGGUCAAGGCGUUAAACAAGAAAGAUGACUGUCCUGCGCUUGUUAGAGGAGAUAAAGGAUCUUCAUAGCAAACAAGUUCAAUGACGGUUUUCGGGGUAUAGAAUUGGUUGGUGAAGGUGUAAGGUCAUAUUCCUAGUCCUGAGUUAUUGUUAGUGGAGAGAAAAGAUCUGUGGCUUCUUAUCUUAAUCCGGAUUAUUAUCCUUAUCCCGCUUACUUUAUAUGAUCUAUUUGGACUUGAUAUGAUAUAUAGAUAUAUAACCGACGUCUCUACUGAAACAAUCGAAGGAACUCCAUUGCGAGUACACUGCGCCGCGCACCCUGAUUAUGAGUUGUUGGCUUGAACGAGAAAGAGCUGGAUUCCUAUUACUUAUUCCAGAUUCCUUCCCAAUGAAGAUAAGGCAGUGCUUGAAAAAGGACUCCAAGGCUAAUAUUGCGGAGAAGGUAACAAAAGUAGAAGAUGAUCCAUUCGAUCUGCGAAUAAUCUGUUUUGGAAGGCAUUCUUGUGAAGACACUUUUGGACUGGCUUCUGCGGGAGAGAGUGUAAUAUAUAGCUCUGGGGACUCGGAAUCGGAUUCUCUGUUCAGGUCCGUCCACUCAAUAGAAUAGGUCGACCCGAGCGCUUAUGGCUUUUGAUUCUUAAAGAUAGCGCCCCCUAUAACGAAUCCUGUCCCCGCCUAAUCACUCAUAAACGGUUGGUUUUAUGCUUGACUUUCCCUCUCUCCCGCCCAAAAGAAUAGUAUAGCGAGAGUUUAGAGAGGAAGCAUUCCGUGUGGAAGGGGACUCCCGAGCUGUGAGGAGAAUCCUUCCUCUUUGCUUAAGUGCCUGUUUAUCGAUAUUGUUGGCAUCCAAUUGUAAUUACAUCUCCAUGGGGAAGAUCAAGUAGGGGGGCACUCUGAAUUCUUCCUUCUUUUAUUCCCAGAAAGAAAUCAUUUCCAAUAAAGGCUUUAUCAGGAAUAAGAAGAAAGUCAUCUUGGCCUGGUACCAUAGGAAUCACACAUGAUGGGGACAUAGCAAAAGAUUAUAAGUAGGGACUGGAAGAUGAUGCGGUGGUUCAAACCAAAACCCGGGACAAAAAAGGGGAAUGAAGGAAUGCCUGCCGACGUUCUGACUCUUUGAGACUGACUUCGAUUCCACUAUCCCGAGCUUUUGAUCCUAUCCUAAAAGAAAAAAGCACUAUGGAUUUUUCGACAGAGCGCAGAGAAAAAGAAGUGAGAAAGCCGUAUGAUAGAUAGGUAGUAACCAUCCUUAUUUGAUCAAGCGGACUCCUAAGAAGAGAAGGGAAAAAGCCUCCUUAUACUUAGAAUCAAUGAAUUGGAGGGUAAGCAGUGAGUGAUAGAUUAAUAUCAUAGGGAAGCAGUGUGUUAUAGUUUCAUAUUAGGGUAAGCAGUGAGUUGAGAUUCCCCUGCGGAGUCCGUUUCGUUCUUAAACAGGUCCGAAGAUCAGACAGAGGUUAUGAGACUUGUUCAUGAACCUUCUUGCAUAGGUAUGGAACGAUUUAUGCGUCCUAAGAAGCAGAACGGGAUAUAAUGAACAUUGGAAUUCCCAAUAUGCCUGGAAGCUUUCUCCUAAUGGCUUAUAGGGCGGGCGAAUGGAUAGGCUUACCGGCGUACUUAAGCUAGAUGGCUCACCAACACAUAUAAACAACUGAUUCUUUCCCAGCCAGCACACUUUCCGUAUAUGAAUUGUCUGAUUAUUCACUCUUCUAUUUGAUUGAUAUUGAUUUCUAUAUUUACCUGAACCACCUAUUAUUCGGAAGAACGUAUCCAGUACCAGAGGUUCGAGGACCCGACCCUUAUAUAGGCACUAAAAUAAUAGAGCUAUGAUUGAGCCCGAUACUAAAGGAAGAAGCACGCACCCUGUUUUCUAUACUCUUGAUUGAUUCUUUCCUUCUUAUUUAGUUAGGUUCCUUAUUGUUAUGUCAUAUUAGAUCAUUGGCGCACCACAUCUCUUCUGAUAAUUAGAGUAUGGUUGCUGACCUUCAUCAAAUACAUUAUGUGUGUCCUUCUAUACUAGACCUCUUUCCUUCCCUUGUAGUGGACCUCACACCAUAGGCACAGUUAUUUCAUUUAGGAUAGGAUUCCCUUCCCGCUUGCAGGACUAAGACACACGAUCACGAACUGGAUGGCUUAGGUUCCAAAGAGGAUUGAUUGGAUUCUCUUCCACAACUAUCUCAAUCAACGGGAGAGGGACGAAGCAGCUCGGAGGAAAAGAGCCUAUUCGGAGCAGACCUAUUCGUAGGCCUUUCCCUUGUUUCAAGAGCUUUCAUAGCAUACACAUAUAAGAUAUAGGCACCCGCAUCUAAACGUACGGAAAUUAGAGACUGACCCCAGUACUAAAGCAAUAGGCACUUACCUCCAUCGUUUAUCUUAAUUCUUAUUGACGUCCCCGACCGUCUAGAUGUGAAAUAGUUCGUGCAUGGAAUAGAAGUCAAGAGGAGUACCCGUAUACCAACAACAUUGAAUACAUUAUGUCGGCACCCUAACCUUUAUUUGCCUUAGUAGUUACUUGAUUGAUUAUUUGCUUUCCCGACCUUCCCGAUACCUUUAUUUAUACUAUUUCUUUAUUUAUACUAUUUCUUCUUUGCCUUCCCGAUACCCUUCCUUCUUUAUACUAUUUCUUCUAUCUCUUCCCGCUUACCCUCUCUAGAUUAUGGAUUAUUUAUCUUCUCCUCCCGCUUACCUUCUCUAGACUAUGGAUUAUUGACUAAUAGAGUUUGUAGUGUGCAAUAGCAAUAGGAAGGAUGCGAGACAGGUUUAUUUAGCUGAACCCGACCGACGCCUUUCUUGAAUCUAAUAGGUGUACCGUGAUGGAAGUAAAGCAGAGAUUUCCGACUCAAUCGGAAGGAAACACUAGACCAACUAUAAACCAACGGAGAACCUACACUAAACUAAAAGAAAGCUCAAAUUACCAACAUCCAAAGGAAGGCCUUGAAAUCGUUAGAACAGAAGGAGCGCACGCCAGAAAGCAAUUGAGUUCUCCGUUCACAAGAGCCCGGAUAGCCGCCAUCGCUGCCGACGCGGUUCAGUCUUCAUUCGAGCGCAAGGCAGUUUGUUUUCUUCCCUCAGCUCAGUCAUCAGUGCCAAUAGUCGGAAAAUAGUGAGAGUUCUUUCUAAAGGGUUAUGUUUAUAUGACAGAUUCGAAUCUUUUAAGACGACAGGAAAUAAAUGAGAUAUGGAGUUUAGCAGUAAGUGAUUGAGUUAGACUUUCGUAAGAGAAAAAGAAUCAUAUUGAAUUCCUCUUCAAAGGGAGUCCCCUAUAAAAGCUAUUUGAUUUGGAGUUAUAGAGGAAUCGAUCGUGUAUUGCAUAAUGAGAAAGCCGCUACUUUUCUUACGGAGAACUACUCUAUCUAAUUGCUUUAGUUUACCGAUGUCUUAGGCGGAAUAGUAUGCAUAUUCUAGUAUACAUAUUCUAGUAUUCGUAUUCUAGUAUGAAUAUUCUAGCUUCUUCAGGCAAGCCCAAUUGAACUCAGAAAGAAAAGAAAGAGGACAAGUAAAGCAAGGCUCGGGGGUAAUAAAGUCAGUCUCUCAGGUCCGUCUCUAACUCGAACUUCAGAAUUCUAUUAAGAAAGUAUAAUCCCUAGGGUGGCAAGGUAGACUUCCAGUAAGGGAUUUCAGAAGGAGAUACAACAAAGCCAGGUCCAGUGAAAGUCCAGUUCCAGUCAUAAAGUAGGGUGUGUUGGCGAAAGGCAGCCAAAGCAGUGUAGAGAAUACCGGUUGACUCUCGAAAUAUAGUUAGAUUAACAAGUAGUAGCUUGGCGAAAAGAGAGCUGGUGCCCGGUUCCUCGGAGCUUCUGAACAGCCAUAAACCGUUCGCUAUCCGCUUGUCUGAGCAAGGCGUUGAGCAUGAAUGAGGGAGACCACGAGACGCUUUCCGUCUUUGUCCCUAGAAGAAAAAAUAGAUCCCAAUUGGUACAGGUAAGGUAGUCUCACGGCAAGGCUCCCAGGAAGAGAAAGUUAAGACAAAGAGACUAGGAACAUAGAUAAUAGUAGAUUCUUGGAGACUUGUAAGAUAGAUAAGAGUUGAUUCUUGGGUCGUAUUCUGAUGGCAUGUAUAUCGCCAUAGGAGUACUCUGAGUGUGGUAGUGACUAUCUAUCCCUUUUCAUAGCAGGCCUCAUCAGCCCGACGAGAAGGAUAGAGAUACUCGGAGAUUAUAACGAAUCGUCGGGAAUAAGAAUCCAUUAGAGCUGCUUCACGUUGAAAGAUCUGCCUUUGGAGUUACUCCCGAGGCUCGGGAAGUUCGGAUGUAUAAACCUUUUGUACUGCGUUCACGAUCAGGGAAGAUCAAUUCCUUUGAAUCCUAGUUGUACUUCCUCGUUGUAGAAGGCAUAACCACUAGAGCUCGGGAGCUGGGAUAUCCGCGGGUCAAUGUAUAGACGCUCUCACCAAUGGAAUAAAAGAGAAGAUAAUAGAUCAAAUUGUUGAUAUUAUAUAGGUGGAAUCCUACCCCUGGUGAGGUCGAAAAGGAUGAGCAUGGCAGCUCGAAAGGAGUGUAGCGGAUUAAGCACAAGCCCAUAAUAUCCUUUCCUUUCCCGGAAGACACUGUUUCUUGGAAUCUCGCUAGGCCCAGAGUGGAAGGAGGACGACAACCAAAGUAGAGGUGAGCUAGGAGAAGAGGACCUAAUGGAAAUUCAUAUCUUUUUGGAUGACUACUUCCUUGUGGACUCUUGGAAGUUUUGUUAGGGGCUGCAUAGAUUGAAGCCUAUUCAAAUUAACUUCGAGCUCCUCUUACUGAGCAGGAAAUCCAAUAUGCUUUGCUUCUGGACUUUAUGGGUCUAGAGUGGAAUUCUUCAAAGAGAUAGGCGGAUUGCUGUCUUGCAGUUAUUCCAGACAGUGUGCUUGAUGAAAGCAAUGCGAAUCAAUUCAUUUUGGAAACUUCGGGACUCGAAUCUUUUCUUGUACAGUGAAAGCAAUCGAACUGCCAUCAGAUUAGAUUACCCGCGGGGGGAUCCAAUUCUAUGCGAGCACUGGCGUAUAGCAGCAAGUUAGGCCUGAUAGAUAGAUAGACCUUGCUCCGUUAAUGUCUUGGGUUAAGUAAGAAGGUGGCUCCAUACUGGGAUAAGGGGUCUGAAGUGGUACUGAAAUCAACCUGGAAGCGCAAUUCCGUUGGUGGAUUUAGCGCAACGUUAACUUGCCGCCCUUCUCUUUCGAGGUUCCCGGUUUUCUCGUUAAUUACAUAUACCAUAGGAUAAGACAUUUGAUUCUAAGAUCUGUGUUUACAUUUUGAAGCAGAAGAAUAGGGAAUAAGAUGCCGGCUUUCUAUUGUCUGUCUUUAUUGAGAGUUGUGUGACUAUAAGGUUGUAGCUUCCUCGAAGGCCCGACUGCUCCACUUUCAUAGUUAGGUUAGAGCGCGGUAAGCCUAGAAGUUCCUAGUAGGAGUGCUCUGUCUUAUAGUAGCAGGUCGUGCAACAGAGACAAUGAAUAUUCUAAUGAAAAGCGAUCCAUCUCUGCCCGAGGGAAUUAGAAUAGCUCGAAGCAGACCUGUCUUUCCUUCUUCCGAAAGUCGGUAGAAGUGCCAGCUAAGCCAAUAAAGGGGUAACCGUGUAAUAAGUGGAGUUAUCGCCAGUGCAGGCCCCUAUAUAUAUAUUAUAUAAAAGAAAGAUCUAGAUUGCAAGUAAGAGAUCACCCUCCUUUUUCUACCCCCUCCAGACAUAUAGGCUCUCAGCUCCUUUCUUUAUUGAGGACACACUAUUCUUCUAUUUUUUGAUAUAAGCCCGGUGAGCAACAGUAGUUUCCAGUAGUACUUCAUUUUCUAGUCAAGUAGCGAGUGUUGGUGCUUACGCUCUAAGUCUGCAAGGUCAGAAAGGUGGCUAGCUCUAAGUCUGCCUAAAUGAGCUGUCUUAGAGUCUCCUUCAGUUCGCGCCUUCGUGAUUCAGAUGUUUCUGCUGCUGACAUGCAACCCAUUGAAGAGGGCGAAGAGCUUGAACCAGAUAACAACAAUCUUCUCUAACAACCUCUGUCUUUAGUCAUUGGAAAAUAGCCUUCGGUUAACACAGCCCCUACGGUAGCUCUGCCUCACGGGGACAGCAGGAAGAGGAAAAGGUUGGCAUAAAUCUUAUUGAUAAUCAAGACUCCCUACGGAUUAUGCACUGGCCGGCCCGGAAUCCAAUGAACCGAAUCGAAUGUUAACCUAUUUCUGAAGUGUAAGAGAUAAGUUCUAGCUUUUUCCUUAGAAGGAAGGUCAAAAGCCUCUGAAUUCCAAUGAUCAUGAUGAAGAAUCAAACCGACCCAAAAUCAUCUAUAAGAGAGAUCAAUUCGAGGAGCCUCCGAACAAGGCAAACUAAUGGCAGCACCUGAAAACUAAUGGCAGCACCUGGGUAAGAAGCGGCUACUAGGGCACAAUCUCCACUUUUGGCGAGAUUUCCACAAUAGCAUUUGGAAUGCAAGGGGCGUCAGCAAUGGCCCCACGCGUAGGCGACGAUCUUGCUCGGGCUUUCGUCUUCAUCCUAUCCUAUAGGCUUGAGUCUUAAUCCUAGAACCCGGCCAACUAUGUAUCAAGAGGCGGAGAUGGAUUUUCGUCGAACAUCUCGCUCGGAUGAAUCCCCUGCCAUGGUAUAAAAAGAAGCUAAGCUAUGGAUACCAUGACCGAUCACCAUCGAUAUCAACAGGAACGUAUCCAUCACAGUUUUCUAGUGAAUAAGCUUGCCAGCAUCUGACAUAGUUAAGCUGUUCCACUCUCUAUAAUUAGAUCAGGUCGCCUUGUCGAGAUCCAAUUGAUCUACAUUCUCCUGCGCUCUAUUAUCACAUGCACCAGAAUUCUCUAAGAUAGCUUGUUUCUCUUCCCUCUAAGAUAGCUUGUUUCUCUUCCUCAGGCACGGGCACUAGCUUUCACCUUCGAAUUGGAUACCUAAGUCACCAGCCAUCUCGCCAUUAUCUAAUUCUUCUAAGGAAUCUUAUGGGCUUGUUCCUCAUUCGUAGCAGCAUUAACUCGUUGCACUCAUCCAGACUAGGCCGAAAACCUCCCCAUCCCACACAGCUCUGGAUUUAGUGUUUCGUGGCUCAGCUGCUUUCGAAGUCUAACCUUGGCCUGAAACUCUGGGUUAUCCUUGGCUCAAUUAGGGUGAAUAGUAUAAUCAUGCAAAGGUUCUUUGCUAGAACAGGUUUGUCUUUGCAUGAAUCUAGGCUGUGGCCUCUCAGACGAAAGAAGGAUUGAGAUCGGUACUAGUAAAUGAUUCGUUGCCAGCGCCCUUUCCCAUCCCCAGCCAAAUACGAUUGGGCAUCUCCUUCAAUAGAUCAACCAAUACGCAUACUCUAGCAAUGGUUGUAGAUCCGCUUGAAUGUGCAAGACCUAAACUCAUGGGCUGAUAACUUUCUCACUUCCGUAGGUAUUCGAUUUAUUUGAUUUCGAGCUAGCCCGCCAGCUUACAAAAGAGGGCGCUAUUUCACAGUGGUAGGGGAAGUCGUCCCGAAGCGCAACUCUUGUUCUUUCUCUUCCGCGGCCAAAGCAAUAACAAGCCUAAGCUAGUCCAAGCAAUUCUGCAGUCACUUUCACUUGCUACUUCGGAGGACUAAGGGAUCUCCAGACUUACACAGCCGGAAAGGGUCAACAACAAAGUGGAGUAAAAGAUUGGUAGGGAUCCAUAACUGACUACUCGCUUACCAGGGGGACUGCUUCCCAUAAACGCUUAUCCCUUACAGACGACUCUCCUUUGCGCUCCGAAAUAGAGGCCGAAUAAGAAAAAAAAGAAGGAGGUUAGUUUUGAUUCGUCGAGGCAUCUGCUCCCUGCCACUAACCUUGGAAGCAUCCGGGGGGAUAUCGCUCAGUUGGUAUAGUUCUGCUCUUUCAAUUGGUUCGUAGCGGUAAGAAAAUCCAUCCUGGACUAAGCAAGGAGGCCAACAAGUAGGUGUUUUCGGCAUCUCCGCUGAUGGUUCUAGGAAAAUCAUGGAAUAAGGUAUGCACUUCGUUCAGUCGGUAUCAUACUAUAUCCCUUGCCCGAGAAAUUCACUACGUUCCCGAUGGCCUACCAUUAGUAGUCUAUAGGUUCUAUAGGUAUCUGGUAUUCGGUAUUGAAGAAAUGCUUCACUUCGUUCGGUCACUUCAGAAGUCAUAUUCCAUAAGAAAUUGAUAUUGAUCCUUGACUUUGUUUACAUUCAGUAGAAGCUUUACGGUGUCCCUUCUGGUCAGGAACUCAGGCAAUAGGCAGCUACACUCAUUGAACUAAAUAACACUACUCUCAUCCCUCUCCCGAGGUAGCUACGAGAUGUAUUCGUGCUUCUUAAGUCGAUGUUGACCUGUAUAUAAGUAAGAUGUUGGAAGGGGAAGCUCCCCAACAUAUUGAAACUCUUUAAGUCAAGUAAGAUGAAACUCUUUAAGUAAAGUAAGACCCCUGUGUAUUUAUUCUCGUAUAGCUGAGUAGCUAAGAGCUUCUGGUACUCGUAGGGGUCGAAUUGUUUUGCGUUAAUGGGGCGGGGCGCGUCUUCCGUUUACCUUAUAAAGCAAGCCACACCUAAUCGCCCUUGAUGCCAUCUUAUCUUUGCGGUCGUAGUCUAUCAUGGUCCAGUCCUAUUAAUUAGGAAAGCUUUUCACGGUCUUAGAGAAAAUGCCUGAAACUGCGAACUACACGAGCUCUUUUGAAAGAAAAGCAGAAACGUCCUUCGUACUCCAAUCUUAGAAGACUAUUGGGAUCUUAUCUGGGAUUUGAUAACACUGACUGACAGCACUCAAUUGACGGGACUUGGAGGCAGGUAUUUGUUGGUUUACUAUCGGAACGAAGGCACUACUACCGCCAGGGACGGAGACCACAGCGCGAUAGAGAAUAGGUCCCUAAACCAGACCACAAGGUUAUAAGCGUCGAGAGCCCAGGUCAAGGAGCUCUCUCGAACAGGGAAUUCGAAAGCCUAACCACCGCCCCCUAGUUUCAAAGCGAGUUUCAAAUCUAGGCGAGUCAGCAGAGCAGGGAAUUCCGCUUUUGAUCCUUACUUACCGGAUAAAGCAAGGGUCUUCUCUUCUGCCUCUAUUCGCGUUGAGUCAGUAACAUAGAUCCACGUAUCCUGCCUGCUGCUUUUUGACUUGCUUUUAUCGAUCAAGCAUUCCUGACCUAUCUAUAGGUUCCUAUAGUCAUCCUACUAUAAGCAUAAGACCUUGAAUUGUCUUCUCUCUAUGGGUAGAAUUUUAAGGAAUUGAUUCAAAGAGGGUGUAACAUUCCUUGUAGUUUAUUAAGGGGAAAGCAGAGAGUUUGACUUCAUCUCGAACCAAAAACGAACCUAACCUCCCUGGAGCUUGGUCAUCCCAGAUGAGCUGAGGGCAUUCGUGAGGACGCAGCCGUGUCCCGGGUCGGAAACGGGCAUUCUCGCUUAUAAGUAAAGCAUUGGCGCGGCAGAGCUUCAAUCGAAAUCGUAAUUCCCCCCGUGUUUCAGGCAUUUCAUUAGGUCCCCAGUAGUGGCAGACGACCAGUAGUUGCAGCAGCCUUAAAGCACAAGUAGGACAAGCUAACCAGGGAACAGACAAGGGAAGACUUUCAUAAAGGAGUUACAGACUCAAAUAAAAGAAGGUAAGCCUAAAACUCAAAAGCGGGAAUGCAGGGUAGAGCUUGGGCUCGGCCUGUGUCACUACUUCACAAAAUUCUGUGGUUCAUCUGUUAGCCCACCGCACUGGUUAGUAGAGAGCAUAGAACCAAACUUAUUAUUAUCAGAAUAUAGGUACUAGAUCCUAGACAUAAAACCUACCCACACCCAAUCUCAUUCUUUAGGUCACCUUACAGCCUGUAUCUACAGUCUCUGAUUCUUUUACUUAGUUUACUUGGAUUGAGAAUAUGUAUUUGACCUAUGAACCUACCCCGCCUGUCUUUCGUUCUAUAACACUGGGCUAUAACACUGGGGCCAAAACCCUUGUCUACUUUGACGAAGAGUUGAACUAACAACUGGGAAUUUUGCUUAUAGGAGAAAGUCGCCAACAAGUCCUAAUCGGAAUGGAACUAGUGCUUCCAAGAACUAACUGGCUCUAUAAUCAGAAAUGAGCUACUGCACCUAAAGCUGUCCUUACUGCUCUUUGAUUCGUCUACUGCUAACACCAUUGGCGCUGGUGAAACUAUAUUCUAAUAUAUUAUAAGAGAGUCGAAUCGAAUUGGUACCAAUAAGGAGAAAAUGAGCAAUAAAGAAUACAUGGUAAGACGGACAGGCUAAGAGAGGGGGAGCUACAGAGUGCAGCUAACGAGUAGCGGAAUGAGAUAAAGCAAUGGUAGCCAACAAAGCAAGGUUCGUAGGCAGUGAAGCAGGGUUCGAUCCUAAUAGCUAGUAGGCUCUUAGCACCUUGUUAUCCGUGUUUGGAUUCGCUUUCUCUUGUUUCUUCUUUGAAGUAAGUAGUACCAUUCCCUGUUCCUUACUAUAUUGCCUUGUUAGCAGAUAAGGUAGUACUUGUCUCUUCCUUUACCAAUAAAGAUAUUUGUUUCAAAUGAACUCUAACAUAACUUCUGUGGUGUUGGUGUGAAAUCCAUCAUUUAAUACAACUUAUAUAGCUUCUCAUUUCUUUUAUGCCUAUAACAUAGGAGUAUCCGAAUUCAAGUAAGCACAGGGUAAGAGCAAAAGAGCAAAAUAAGAGUCAAAGAGUGGAGUUAAUAAGGAUGAAGCUCUGGGAGAGUGUCUAGGCAGUGGGUUUCUGUAAAAGAAUAAGAUAAAGUAGUUCAAGGUUGAAGUCGACGAGUGGAAUGCCCCAACUCGAACAGUAGAAAUCAAGAAAGGAAUGACAGGGACAACUACUUGAGUGGAGUGGAGGCUAUAAGCUAUGAAGUAAGGCUCGGCUCUCCAGAGAAGAAAGAAGAGACUACACGAUUGAUACGCAUAAUUUGCUGUUGGAUUACUUAUUGCCAUUUUCAUUCCCGUACUGAUAAGGUGAAUUCCGUAGGGGCGCCUUUGCUAUAAUACGACUUAGUUCAAUUCUGAAUACUACAACUAGGGGCCUUAGAGCUCAGAGGCUCGUAUAACAACAUAGGGGAACGGAGCCCCGGACUUUCAAACUAAAACAAACCCCCGGCAUUCUGAACACAUGGCGUACAUAGACGCAUGCUAAGUAAUAGAAUAAUGAGUCACAUUCUCCCUAUCCGCCCCCGCGAGGUGACUACUUAGGUGCAUUCUUAAUACCCCCUGAGAGGGACAUUCAUUCCCUAAAGCAGCUUGCAUUCUUUGACGGACUUGUUUGAUUCCUAUUAUUUGUAGUGGAAAUCCCAGUUGAUAGUUUAGUUCACUGAGGUCGAUUCCCCGUCGAUAGUUUCAUUCGGAUUAGUAUGGGUUUCACUCUUGCCAGUAUUAGGUUGAAGAGCAAGGAAGUAGGGCUUGGAGACAGUAGUGUUAGGCCCAUAUUUAGCAGUGGAUUUCCCUGUUAGUAGGGUGAGUCUUGUUGGAAGUAGUGCAUUCACAGUUCCGAGUUCGGGCCUUGUUGUCAGUAAUUUAGUUCCAAGCUCCAUACUUAUAAGUUCUAGUUGAUCGGUGGAAUCAGACUCAAAGAAGGGGGGAACGAGACAGACUCAACCUUUUGGGGGGGGAGUUUCUAGAUUGAAGAAGCGAGUCAAGAACGCAUCUAAGCUCCGCUCCGGGGGUGCUACUAGGGCUUUGAAGGCAUUAGUGGAAGUUUGCUAGUAGGGAGGACAGGCUUGGUUCGCUGAGUCCUAUUUCGGAUAAGCAAUAGUGCCAUUCGCCAGUACGGAUGCAUUUCUGGUUAUUGUAACUGAACACCGCAGAUCUUCUCUACUGCCCAUUGGCCUUGCUGUACUGUAUGUCAAACGACCUUCACUCUACGUAUUGCUCCUUGCAUCCUUUAGUAUGCCGUUGCUUCCUUGCAUUCUGUAUAGCUCGAUUCUUGGGCUCCCUUUCUAGUGUCUUGGCGCGCCGUUGCUUGGCCCUAUUUCAUAGCUGCCGCCGAACUAAGGACUCAAAACCUGGACUGGAAUUCCGGAAUCUCUCUCACACAACUGAUAUAGAUAUAGGAAAGCAACAACACUGGAAGUGCAUUCUAUAAGUAAGUAACCUAACGGAUAAGUGCGCUGAUCCUAUAGGAGAUUCCGCAGCUGCCACUGUUUGAACUAAUGAAGCAAAUGAUUUANNNNNNNNNNNNNNNNNNNNNNNNNNNNNNNNNNNNNNNNNNNNNNNNNNNNNNNNNNNNNNNNNNNNNNNNNNNNNNNNNNNNNNNNNNNNNNNNNNNNNNNNNNNNNNNNNNNNNNNNNNNNNNNNNNNNNNNNNNNNNNNNNNNNNNNNNNNNNNNNNNNNNNNNNNNNNNNNNNNNNNNNNNNNNNNNNNNNNNNNNNNNNNNNNNNNNNNNNNNNNNNNNNNNNNNNNNNNNNNNNNNAAAAGCCACGAAAACGGGACUGUAUGAAGUCAACAAAUAAUGCAUUUUAUCCAUCGAGCGCAGAAGCCCGCCAUAAAAGCAGAUUUGAUUGCCGGAAUGGAUCUUAGCGCGGAAGCUUACUUCUAACUUGCUGCUAGCUUUCAAACGACUUCUUUCUUCUCCAACUGUUGAUUCUGUUUCCUGUUUGAAUUGUGCUUCUUUCGAGUCCUUGAGCAUAGCUGAAAGGUCAUAGGCAAAAGAGGAUCACUAUCGGCUGUUUGUAGACUCUUGUUCAAAGCAAGCGACUCUCCUCUCCAGUCCAUUCUCGCUUGUCAAUCGUUCUCGUACCGUGUAUAUAAUGGAAUUGGGUAAUUAGAAAUAGAAGAUUUGUUUACACUAGAAUUCCAUGAUUAUAUGCUUGACGCAACAAGCGACUCACCAACACUGUCACCCCAAUAAAUAGAUUCUCUUCAUGAUUCAACAAGAGCAGAAAGAUACGUGUAUUCAUCCGCUUUUUUCGCCUUUAUUUACGGGUAGUUCUAUGAUAUUAUUUAUAGUCUAAAGUCAGGGCAGCAAAGCAGCCUACUUACAAUUUCCUCUUUUCUUUCUUUCGCAAGCCCAUUGCAUUAGGGCGGAGAUGGAAUAAACGGACAGUAACUGAGCCCGAACUUCCUGAAUGGACAGGGAGAAUAGUAUAAACAAAUGGCAUAUAUGCAAGUGUAACGAUUUCUAUGUUUCUACGAAAAGGAAUGCAAUGCUCGAAAGGGAUAGGGAGAGUGAGAGAUUCUAUCUUUAUUGUCUCUAUUCUCGAUAGCUUAUCUAGAUUGAUCGGUAAACUGUUUUUGAAUACUAAGGACCAAGACAAUGGUUGUCACAGAUCAACUAAACGUGAUUUCACUGUAUCUAGAAGUUAUGCUAAGAAAGCCGCUUUGAAGCAAGGUCAGCUUAGGAUUCUUUUGAUCUCUAGCUUCUCUAUAGCUAGAAUUAGCUAAACUGCUUAUAAGCUAGACAGCCAUUCCAGUUCUAUAGCUUAGAAUAGCUAGAUAGUUGCCAAUUUCCUUGCGAGACACAAUGUCUAUACGAGGUUUUUGACAUGCCUAUCCAUUCCUUACGCUUUCUUUUAAGCCUUUGGAAAGUAUUAGUACCCUAUAGUUUCAGGGUGUAAGGGAGAGAAGAAGUUAAGUACUCUAUGGAAUAUGGGUUAGAGCGAGUGACCAGGUUCCUUUGCAGUCGGUCCAGCCAUUUAGGGUGCAAGUCCUAUUCAUCUAGAGCCAAUUUCCGUUAUCAAGGAAGGAAUCGAGCGAGUGUAAGUGCAGUGCUUCGCUUGUUACGUGUAAAGAAUAUCUCCUUUGAUUCUAAAUCCUCUUUCCUCUUCAUGUACAUCAAAGCAAUGAAAGCCAGCAGUGGUAGGGUCAUUUCUAUAGUGGAGUCCUGUAUAAGAUAUUGGCUUAUUCGAUAGCUUAAGAGAAGAUAUUAGAGUCCGGGAAGACAUUUCCAUUCUAGUCAUAUUAAUCUAAAAUGAGCUUAGUAUCCACAAAGGGGAUUUCGAGCCUGCUAAAAUCUAUGUGAACGGGGGCCCUUAUUUAGUUUAGCGAUUACUAAGGAUCGAUUGCGUUGAGCACUUUGAGAUCAGCUAGCUCAUUCCACUUCUUAUUACUUGGUAGCGAGUGCUUUUUUCUAAUGUUUUAUAGGGGUAGGAGUUUGUGUGUGAUGAAGUCUCUUCUUAUCCCUUUUAGAAACACAUAGCCAACUAUUAUCAUAGGCUUAGUUCUUGGUAGGACAUGAUCUUAUCGGCCCUUUCUUAGUCCAGAAGGUCAUCUUUAGGGACCACCGUUUACAGAGGAAUUUCUCGGUCGGGGAUAAGGUUGUUCCAAUCUUUUUCGAAGGCUAGAGAAGUGAAAACGGGUCCCGUCCCGGUUGAAUGAUCCUUUGUUUGUGUCGAGAGGUUUUUCUUCUUUGUGUGAAACGCCCUUUUACGGGCGGAGUUGCCUUUUCCCCAAUGGGGUCUAGCUUGAAGGCAAGCCAAGCAAGUAGGCUAUUGAGACGAAAAUAACAACCUUUUUCUGCUUACACGUCUUCAAAAGGCUAUAACAUAGGUAUACUUCAAGUAAUACAAAUAAUGAAUUGCCAACCGGAUGGAUGGGGUUAAGGUCCUUCCCCGCUUACAACCGUAGCUACUCCUCACCCGCUUACUUCGUCUCCUCUUUUUUGAGGACUCCGUUUCCUAACAGAAGCCCUGCGUUCUACUUCGGUUAGAAACUGGUGUGAGAUAUACAAGUUCUCAGUUAUAAGAACUCGGAGUCUAAGAUAGUAACAAGAGAGAACUAAGUGCAAUACUACCAACCGACUAGUGACGUGCAAUACUACCAACCGACUAGUGACCGGGGUGAAUUAGUCAUUUCUUACGGGAGCAGCUCAUCGGUCAUGCUAAGGGGAAGACGAGGGCGAGUUAUACAUACCACUUGAAGAUCCUAGCUCGACUAGUAUGAACCUACAUCCAAAAUAAUAAAUGAGGCUCCGUCUUAGAAGCGAGCGACUGGUAGCUUGACAAGGACUAAAACAACCUAACACUCUCAAUUUGUAUUCCCUCCCCAGAAUAACAAUCUUCAUCGGAAGGAAGGCUAGUAUCCCAGAAAACCACUUCCCUUUUACUAGACCACUGAUGUAGAUGUAGACAUCCCCGUUCCCUAAUCCAAUUUCAUCAAGCGGAUCUUGGACUUAUUAAGGGUAUCAUCAAGCUUUGCCGGUCUAGGGUAGGGUUUAGUUCCUUCAUCUGGAUCACUUCUUAAGAGGAAGAUUGAAUACUCUAUCAAGCUGCCUUUUGUAUGGCAAUGUGUUUUUCCAGAGCAGAAAUUCAGAGCUUCCGCCACGCCAUGAUUCUCUCACUUUGGAAGGUAAAGAUCUAUCUGGCUCUUUCUUGUCAGCUGGUGCUCAUUUGGAUAAGCAGCAGGAUCAACGACUGGAUCAGCUGGAACUACAAAAGUAUAUGGCUAUGGAACAAUCAAAGAGACUUCGCUUAGCAAGGAAUCAACGUUCACUUCUUGCUUGUUUGUCUGCGAGAUAGGUUAUUUACCUUAGUUGUCGUGGAUAGAGAUUCAAUGAAUUCUUUGUUUUCCUCGGUGUAAGAAAGAGUGCAAAGAGAGAAAAUCUUAGAUGCACUAUAAUCUGGGACUGUAUGACUUAACUCAAAACAACAAACUGGUAGAUCACCACCAGCAACAGCAAUCAAGCAUUUUAGGUAUAGACCGUCUGAAGUAAGAGUAGGAACAGAUACAGUUAUCAAGGAAGAUGUCUUUCUUUGUUAGCGACGAAGCAGGAAGUACUGAAUGCUGAAGGGGAGUGGAAGUUUAAACAGAAGCAACAGAACCCUCUAUUAAGUUUAGUCAAAGUAAAGUAGUCCGAAAACGGAUUGUAUGCCGCUGCUGGCCCUAAGCUUGGCGCCUGACUCUCCUCUAAAGGAUGAAACUAGCACUGGCACCUCUCUCGUCUACUACUAAGGUACAGAGGGCUCUCCCCUAGACUUAGAGCUAUAGCCAGCCUACUUAAUCUCACAAGCACUAACACCUCGCUCUCCACUUCACCGCGCUUCAGAAGUAAGAUAUUCCUCCCUUUACCCUGCGCCAUCUUUUGAGCGGUCAGGUCCAGUAUCAAGUUUUGUAUUCAUUUCUUCGCGUAUCAAUACGAGUAUCUUCUCUGGUUGUUCAACCUAGGCCUAUCAAAAGUAUAGGAUUCGACAGCCGAGAUGAAUGAUUAAAGCCAGAGAACUCACUACCACAAAAAGGAGAUUUGGUAGCCAAGAACUUAUCGUUAGCGCAUCCCGAACUAAACUUAAAGAACAAACAACACUGUCAACGCAACACUCCAACCUGCGAGCUACAGGAUAAAGCCAAGGAUUAAGGUGAGAAGGUAAGGCUUGAACGCAAGAUCUCUCGUCUACUCUUCUUUCUUGAAGCUAUAUGCCUCUGUUCAACGUAGCUAAUGUUAACAGAAUUGUGAGACUAUGCCUCUGUCCUUAUAGUAUCGCUUUAGGAUGCCUCUAUGAAUGAUUAAAGCUUAAAGUCAGCAGUAAGUAGUGAGGAAGCAGAACAAGAAGUAACGGAACAAGCUUCUUAUGAUUGUUUCGGGGUGCUAAAACGAACAAGGGAACAAUAAAGCGCUUUGUAGCACAGUCGACUCGGGUGCCUAUAUUUAGCUGACUUUCCGGGGUCCCCAUCUGAGUUCGUUUAUUGCCUCCAUUCGUUCUUUAAGUAGUUAGUCAGUAAAAAAGAGCUCACUAACGCCCGGAUGAACUAAAAAGGCACUGAAGGUCUAUGUACCGUCUGGUAUUCCAUAGGGUUGGGCCAGCCUAGAGCCAGAGCUUAUGCGCGUUAGCUAGUUAAGAGCCCUAGUUUAGUAUAUUAGUCUAUAUAGAGAAGUCAUAUUCCCGCUCCGUGGGCUUUUUUUAGGAUCUACGAAUUGAGUAUGUGGGCUUUUUCUAAGCUUAGUGUUGCUUUCCUUGGUUUCGUUCUGUAUUUCAUGAUUGAACUCCCCGGUUCCCAUUCUACAAUAUAUGUUUUCUCAUUAGAAUAUUUGACUAUACGCUAUAUCUCUCGUAUCCCAUAUCCACUUGCGAAACUUUCUUUAGCUCAACUCUCACUCUGCCUUUCCAGCAUCUGGGCUUGCCCCUUUCCUUUGUACGGGUAAGAAGAAUCCGAAUAAAUACUAAUAGGAAUAAGUAGCUGAUAAAAAGAAUCAGAAUCAAUAUGAUGCUAAUAAGACUUACCGAAUCCAGUCUACUGCUUCUAAGAUAACAACUAGUGCUGACAGGGCUUACCCACCAACUAGGAAAUCCACCCUCAGAGACCAAACUAUUAAACUCAUACCGAUCUGACUUUAGCGCUUAACUGGCUUUGAUUCUUUGACUUACUACUUGGAUUCUGAAGUUGGUUAGUUGAUGUCUAGAUUCCCCUACGAUGGACUAGGCCUGCUCCUCUCAUUACUUAGUUCAGAUGUUAGUCUGCCCUUCCUCUUCUUGACUCUAAGAACAAUGGUCCGGAUCCACUUGGCGCUUCGCAGUUAAAGAAUCGAGUGGAGUAGUUGGAUUGCCCGUUGCUAGUUGUCCUGUUGUUGUGUCCGCUGUUGAUUUCCCUUUCUCUUGUUAAUAUCGAUAAACCAAUCCAAGACUUCUGACUUAUACAACUAAUGGUGAAAUACAGGGUUAAGGUCAAAGGAAGCAGACUCCAUCUAAGAAGCAAGGAAGCCGGUAAGUAAUGGGAGAAUGAAAGAGGGAAUAGUCAGACUAGAAGGCCGGUAAGCAAUACGAUUAUCCCGUUUCUACCAAGUAACUACGGAUACUAAGUCCUCUACUGCACUAGAUCGAUCACCCAAUCAGUCCAAGAAUGGAAAUUCCCACUUACCUGGCCUGGCGCACCUAAAAUAGUAACCAAAUGCAGUAACUCAACAAUAAAGUCACUCAAUAAAGUAGCAACUAAAGAAUGGAUUUCGAAAGUCAGGAUACAUGCGACUAAACAGAAAUGAAAUCCCCUUCGAGCUAUCGGUGCCCACUCCUUAUGGUUGAUCUGGAAAUACUUGAGACUUCUGUAGAUAGGAAACACAGAAGGGGACACCGGAUGGUUCAUAAGGAAUCUCCAUUGCACCCCAUCAGGCAAAGGACCACUACAUGGAGACCAUACUACCAUACAAUCUAGGGACCCGGUUAUCGGACUUACUACCUUGACUUGAGUUCUACAACUAAUAACUAUCAGAAUUGAUCUAGUGCCUUUAAUAGUCUAACUUGGAACUCUACCCUGAGCUAGUGCCUCUAAAUACUUCAACUCAAAGCUGCUCUGACCUACUUGAUUCUGAAUUUCGUUAGUGAGCCCUUCCUGUCCUGGAUUGUUCUAUUAAUUGCCCCGCUCCUUUGCUUUCAUACCAAUACUGAUGUCAACAACAAGGCUUGCUUACUGGAUUGUGUACUCAAACAUAGCCUCUUAAGCUAGGAAUUAACGACUUCUUCCCCAACCCUAGUGCUACUAUAAGAAUUGAGCUACUGUUAAUAUAAUAAUACUAGAUAUGAUGAGGCAAAGGGCCAAGCAACUAAGCAAUAAGUCCAGUCGCUUGUUUGGUUCGUUGCUUGUUCUGUUUACUCUCGGGGCUUGUUCGAACGGUGAACUCCGUAAAGCAAUGGGCGCGAAAGAGAAGAAGAUAGCGUUCAUAGUAGUGUAUAUAAAGAAAGGGUAAAUAACACAAAGCAAUAGGCACGAAAGAGAAGAAGAUAGGUUUCAUAGUGUAUAGAAAGGAAAGGGUAAACAACACAAAGUCAGGAAGCAUGACUCCUUACUCACUUACCAUCCCCGUUACUCCACUCCGUUAGCGCUUAGCUUAAUAUACUUAGCUUGUUUACUAACGCUCUGAUAACUCAACUAGUACUUACUUUUAUAUGGGCGCACACCUAAUCAAUAGAAAUCCAGAAUCCCCCUUACUCGAGGCUCAAUAGAAGAAAAGAAUCACCCUACCUACUCUAUGGGGCUUCAAUAUAACAAAAGAAUCACCCUACACACCUAUUAGGAAAGAACAUAGGAAAGGUAAGGCAUAAGGGAAUAUAUAUUUAGAUAAAGGUCGAGGUACAGGAAAGGCUAAGUUCAGAGCUGGUUCGGGGCGGUAUUUGAGUGUUGUAUAGGAAAGAAGGUUCUAUUUGAAUAAGUUCAGUGUAAACCAUAAAUUCUACAAAUGAAUCCUAAAAAGACAGAAAGAAAUGGAUAGAAGAGUUAACUAAGGGCAUUAGAACUGUCUCGAUGGAAUCGGGUUGAAGGAAGGGAAGGGGCGGAUGAGGGUUUUGCUUGUGCGCGAGGAAAGAGCUCUAAAUCGUAUUCAGCCUCCACCGGAUUCAUAAGGAGUGAGUGAGCUUACUAAUAUCUUCUAGAUAGAAUCAGUCUACUUAACCAACCGCUCUAUACAAAAAGAUUCUUCAAAUGGUGAAUUACUUGACUUUGAAAGAUUCUUCAAAUGGUGAAUUACUUGACUUUGCGCCUUUCCCUAUGUUGUGAGGUGCGUGCCCAUCUAAUAUGUAAUAGUGGAGUUCGCCUAAGUGCUAACGCUUACUCUUGGGGUGGGGGUGCGGGGAACAAGCUUAGUAUAGGAACAGGCUACUAUAACAAGCAAGUAUACGAGAACAAGAAGCCAGGCAGUAAUUAGGCUCUUCCAUUCAAGUAGUAGGGGAUAGCUGCACCUAUAUUCUCACUUCCAGUUUCAGGAGUCACAGAGUCGGUUUGUUUUUUCACUCCAUUCUAUUAUAUACAAUGAACGCAUAUUUCCUUUCUAGCCUAUUCCUUAUAGCUUUUUUGAGUUACUACAGUAAGGUUAAGAAAUGACAUAAGAUGCUGGGGGUGAAAGGCACCUACUAAGAAUGCAUGGCAGCAGCUUUAGACAGACAAUGGAGGCAGAUAUGGACCUUUUCUCUUAUAGGAUGCCCCGAUAUUCCAUUCAGUAGAGGCAGCAGUGUUCUUAAGUGAGUUUAGAAAGAAGCCCAGGACUGCUUUGCUUAUCUUCUUUCAAAAAAGAGACUGCUUGCUAGUAUUGUAGGGGAGCACAUUAUACACAAGGCCAUUAAGAAGUCUGGACCAGUUGUAAAGUCAUAAACUCAUUGAAAUGUUGACUACCUACUAGCGCACAACAGCAUUGCUUCCCUAAUGGAAAACUCACUUGUUAACACUUUAAGAACUCCGCUAGGCACCGCAUCGAAUCUUUCGACUUCCUCCGCUAACUCUGCCAGGUACCCCGCAACAAACAAGCAAAGAAUAUUCCUCUGAUCUUGCAAAAUAUAGGUGCGGAACCAAACUAGACCAUUGACUCUGAAACGUAACUCAUUUAUUCUCUCUUACACCCCUAUUAUAGAAUCAAGUCACCCAACUAAGAAGCACUUAUUACUUACUGCAGGGCUGGCUCAACACACAAGUCAAGUAAGCUAAGACGAGUUAAUAGCACAUGGGCACCGAAUCCUUCUACUUCUUCUGCAAACUCAGUGCCCCUACUAUAAUUCCCCUCAACAGUAAGCGUUAGCGAGUUCUUAGGCUUCAAGUUGAGUUAUUCUUGUUGGCGCCCUAUAGCAUUAGUCAUCCAGCUCUUACAGCAAAGAGUCUAUUCCAACAGUGCCACGGCCCUCU
rnacentral:lncRNA from 1 species